CAAGUUUGAAUAUUCAUGACGCUCAAGUAACAGACAAAUUGAAUACAUACCUCAAGAAGAUCCAACAAUAAUACAUGUCAUGCUCUUAUUUUAUCAUAAGUGGCUAGUAUAAUUAAUGAAAGUAGCAGUGUACCAUACAUUCUGAUUUCUCAAUCUUGAUUCUUCUUCCAGACAGCCGGCUUGUCAAGAGGAAAAGGGGAAUUUUUCAGAUUGAAGCAACGACUAACCUCUGCAUAACGUAGUAUAGGCAUAUCCUUGAGCAAAACAUUCCAAUCAAGAUCUAAGUUUGGCACGAACUUUAAACAUAGACCCUCAAGGACCCAUGUGGUGCCAUUGCUAUCCUGAUCAGAUUCAGAACUGAUUUCGAAGUUGCUGAUGUCUCCAUCCUCAAGACAGAGAUAUUGCAGGCUUGAGAGGUGCUUAAGAUUAAUCCAUUUUGGCAGAAUUUCGUGGCGGUAUCGCCUGAGGUAAAGCUCCUGAAGGCUCGGAGGAGGCAAAAGCCUAUCCAACAUCUGUGAUACAUGUUUUUCUUUACAAUCCUCUGCAUCAAUAGCUAAAACUUUGAGUUUCUCGAGCUGUGAUAAGACAUUCCAUUCAUCUUCAGAGAUUUCACUCUCAUUAUUUAUGGACAUUCGUAGAACUCUUAGCUGCUUCAGUCCCAGCAGGGCGUUAAGUCGACAGCCUUGUGUGUUAGACUGACUCGCCACCCGAAAUCCAGACAGCUCCUGGAGAUAAAUUAGCUUCUCGAGUCCAUGAGGUAGAUGCUGGAGAGGACAAGAUCCGAGGUCCAAGAUGAUCAACUUCUUCAAACUAGUAAUUGAUGGAUGUAGUUUGGUGCACCUCCUCAGAACAAGUAUUUGGAGAUUACGAAGCUUUUGAAUUGAAGAUGGCAGCUCAAUAUUGCCUGCAACUCCGCUUAAGUUGAGACAUGCAAGGCGUUUAAGUGAAGAGAUCUUAUCCAAUAGAUCCUCAACAUUCAUUCGAUCUAGCUUACAGUAUGAGAAAUCCAGCACCCUCAGUGACAUGAGCGAUUUCACAUUCCAAAAGGAAACCGGAGUGCUUGAUGUCAGUAUUGUUAAGGAAGCUCACACUUGUAUAGUAGUCAGCAGAACAGAGGAUGAUAGCAGCAAGAUUAAUCAGUUACGCAUUGAUGAUGUGGCAUGCCAUGUCAUGCCUGGUGAUUAUGAAAUAUGUGUACACGUGACUAAUUAGUUAAAGGUUGUUAUAUUCAGUUAUCAAGUUGAGCUUAAGCACUUGUAUAUAAGAAAUAAUUCAACACACAUUACGUGUGUAUUUGAUUAAUAAGAUCAGAAAUUUUCUCAUAUCUAUUUCUUAAUUCUUUUCACUUUCCUUUACUUUCUAAGUAACCAAACAUCAUUUUCAAUCUUCAACUUGGUAUCAGAGCCACGGCAAAGUAAUGGCAUUAGUAAAUCUUGUUUCAUCUUCUGCACCAGUUCUUAACACAACAGUUAACUCAACAAUUUCUUCAUUUACGUUCAACACUCCUGUUAAACUUGAUCAAUCCAAUUUUCUGAUAUGGAGAUCUCAAGUUUUGGCUUCAAUCCGUGGUAACAGACUUGAGAAGUUCAUAGAUGAUUCAGCAACUCCACCUCCAUCUCACAUUGCUCAAAGGAUUGGUGAUGAUAUCAGAUCUGUGGAGAAUCCAGAGUUUGUAAUUUGGAGAUCACAAGAUCAAGUACUUCUUGGAUGGCUGCUCUCAUCAAUGAGUGAAGGUAUUAUUAGCUUAGUGUUUGAUCUGGAAACUUCUGUUGAGGUGUGGAAGGCUAUUGAAACACAAUUUGGCUCACAAUCUAAAUCUAGACUUUUACAUCUGAGAUACAUGAUGAACUCAACUAGGAAAGAUGAUUUGAAAAUCAAUGAUUACUUCAUUAAAAUGAAAUCUAUAGCUGAUAACAUGGUUGCAGCAGGAAGUGCUUUGAAUAAUGAUGAUUUAAUUCUGCAUAUACUCUCUGGUUUGGGACCAAAAUACAAUUCUGUAGCCACUUAUAUCACUGGACAAGUAGGUGUUGGAAAGAUGAAUGUUAAUGAGGCUUAUGCCAUGCUUUUAACUCAAGAAGCAAGGAUCGAGCAACAAGCUCAAAUGCUUGCUGAUACAAAUGUGAAACAGAAUUUUGAAGCUAAUCUAGUUCUAAAUAGAGGAUUUAAGAAAGGAAACAUGUCUGGUGGUAAAAACUUUGGUGGUUAUGGAUACAAUACUGGAAACAAUGGAGGUUUUGGAACUAAUCAUUACAAAGGCAAUUAUGGAGGAUCCGGAUAUGGAUUUGCUGGUAAUGGAGAUUCUCAGUACAAAGCUUAUCAAGGUGAUAAUCAGAGAGGUGGAGGAGGCAGUUGGAAUCCAAAUGCUGGUAAUGGAGGAUAUAAUGGCAGACCAUCUGGACAGAUCAAGCCUCAGUGGAAUGGUUCUAAACCAACCUGUCAAAUAUGCCUCAAGACUGGACAUACUGCAAACAUCUGUUGGAAACUUACAGAGUUCAUGAAUUCUGGAGCAUACAGACCACCACCAAAUAGAAAUCCAAAAGCUGCAUACUUAGCCAACAUAGAGGGACCAUCUGAUGCAAACUGGUACCUGGACAGUGGAGCUACACAUCAUCUGACAAAUGACAUGAAUAAUAUGCAUGUUUCUGAAAGCUUUACAGGUACUUCUAAGCUCAUUGUUGGUAAUGGUGCUGGUUUAAGCAUAACUCACUUAGGCAGUGUAGUCUUGAAAAUGCAUAAAAAUAGAGAUGAUGCCUUAUCAACACUUAAGCUCAAUGACAUGCUCCUAGUACCACAAAUUACCAAAAACCUCAUUAGCAUAUCCAGACUUACCAAAGAUAAUAAUAUAGGGGUUGAAUUCACUGACAAAUUUUAUUUUGUGAAGGACAAGAUGAAGAAUGUGGUAAUAUUGCAGGGCAAGGCUGAAAAGAGUCUCUACAGAUUGCUAUUGGUUUCUUCUAAUAAAACUCUUAUCACAUCAUCUGGUCAGAGUUAUAUUGCUAAUGUAGAGUCAACCGAGACAUUAACUCCUCUUUCAAUGUUUUCAAGUGUUAGUUAUGAAUUCAAAAAUAAAACCAACUACUUACAUACUUCAGCAGUUCCUUGUAUAAAUUCUGAGUGUUUGUUAAGUACUUCUGUAUUACAUCAAAGGUUAGGUCAUCCAUCUUCUCAUGUUUUAAAUCAUGUAAUCAAAACAUGUUCAUUUGUUCAAACUAUCAAUGGAAACAAAACCUUUGAGUCUUGUGAUGCUUGUAAGAUGGGAAAGAUGCACAGAUUACACUUUCUUGUCACUGAAACAAAAACAAAGUUUCCUUUAGAAAUAUUACACACUGAUCUAUGGGGACCAUCUCCUGUGAUCUCUCCUCAAGGAUAUAGAUAUUAUGUAAGUUUUGUUGAUGAGUGCACCAGAUUCACUUGGAUAUUUCCAUUAAAAACAAAAGAUGAAACUCUCCCUAUCUUUAAGAUCUUCAAAACCCAAAUUGAAAAACAACUCAACAGAUCCAUUAAAUAUCUUCAAUCUGAUUGGGGGGGAGAGUUCAGAUCCUUUGUUAACUAUCUUCUUACUGAAGGAAUCCAAUUCAGACACUCAUGUCCCUAUACUCACAAUCAAAACGGUUUAGUAGAAAGAAAACACAGACACAUCACUGAACUUGGGUUAACCUUACUUGCACAAGCUACCAUGCCUCUUAAAUUUUGGUGGGAUUCUUUUCAUACAGCAACCUAUAUUAUAAACAGACUACCCACUCCUGUAUUGAGCAUGAAAUCUCCCUAUGAAUCUCUAUUUCAACUUUCACCAGAUUACAAGUUUCUAAGAGUCUUUGGUUGCUCAUGUUUCCCUUUCCUUAGAGAGUACAAUAAACACAAGUUUCAGUUUCAUACAUCCAAAUGUGUCUUUCUGGGUUAUAGCCCUUUACAUAAAGGCUAUAAAUGUUUACAUCCCUCUGGUAAAACUUAUAUAGCUAGUCAUGUUUUGUUUGAUGAAUCUUCCUUUCCAUAUUCAUCUCUUUUUCAUAUUUCUUCAUCUGGAAAUCAUUCCUCAGAUUUCCAGUAUAAUCUUCUCAAAUGUUAUACAGUUCCAGUUUCCAAUAGCAAUCAAGACACUCUUGAAGCUAAUGCAGCGGAUAAUGACCAUUAUUCUCCUCUAUGUUCUUCUCACAACACACCAAAUGUUUCCUCACCAUCAAAUAACCUUCCUACUGACUCACUUCAUUACUCAUCACUCACACAACCAGCUUCUGAUCUAAAUACUUCCAUACAGCCCAAUAAUGCCACAUCACUACCAAAUCAGCAAAAUCCACCUUCUUUACCAGUUGAAACACACCAAUUAUCAGUACCAACACAAGUCAAACCACUCAUAUCUACACACAAAAUGAUCACUAGAGCUAAGGCUGGAAUCUUCAAACCAAAGGCCUUCAUUGCCAACCAUAAUAGUCUGGAACCAUCCACCACCUAUGAGGCAUUAUCUGAUCCUAAGUGGAAGGGAGCUAUGCAGGCAGAGUAUGAUGCUCUCAUGAAGAAUAAUACCUGGAGCCUAGUACCUAUAUCUUCCUCUUAUAAACCAGUUGGAUGCAAAUGGGUUUUUCGAACUAAAUACAACACUGAUGGUUCAAUCUCCAAGUACAAAGCAAGACUAGUUGCAAAGGGGUUUCACCAAACUGCAGACAUUAACUAUUCAGAAACCUUCAGCCCUGUAAUCAAAUCUUCAACAGUAAGAGUUAUCAUAAGCUUAGCUGUUAUGAAAGAGUGGAAAGUAAGGCAAAUUGAUGUAAAUAAUGCCUUUCUUAAUGGAGAACUCUCUGAAGAUGUGUAUAUGACACAACCCGAGGGUUUUGAAUCUAAGGAAGGCUACAUUUGCAAACUCAACAAAGCUUUGUAUGGGCUAAAACAAGCUCCAAGAGCUUGGUAUGAAAAGCUCAAAGGCUGUCUAACUGACUGACAGUUUAUCAAUUCUAAAGUUGACACUUCUCUCUUCAUCAAGCAUGAUACAAGAGGAUUAAUCAUUGUUCUCAUCUAUGUAGAUGACAUUCUAAUUACCGGCCCUGAUUCUGAUCUACUGGAGGUAUUCAUAACUAAACUCAGCACAGUGUUUGCUCUUAAGGAUUUGGGGCUGGUUGCUUAUUUUCUUGGAGUGGAAAUGUGUUACACUGCUCAGGGAAUGCAUCAUUCUCAAACAAAGUAUAUCAAAGAUUUGUUGAGUAGAGCUUCAAUGCAGAAUUGCAAAGGUUCUGAUACACCUUUUAGUAUUAGUUUUAAGCUGGAAAGAGCUGUGCAAGGUUCUCUGGGGCAAGAGUUUGAGGAUCCCACAUUGUACAGAAGUCUUGUUGGUGGCCUUCAAUAUCUAAUUCUUACCAGACCUGAUAUUGCCUACUCAGUUCAUAAGCUCAGCCAAUAUCUCAGUGCUCCCACACUUCAACACUGGUUGGCCUGCAAGAAAGUUCUUAAAUAUCUUCAAGCAACAAUCACUUACGGCCUUCACAUUCAAAAGGAGGGAAUACUUGAAACUACUGGAUUGACUGGUUAUUCAUAUGCUGAUUGGGCAUGUGAUGUUAAUGAUCGCAAGUCCAUUGGAGCUUAUUGCAUAUAUCUUGGUAACAAUCUAAUCUCUUGGUCAUCUAAGAAGCAACCUAUUGUUGCUAAAUCCAGCACAGAGAGUGAAUGCAGAGCUCUAUCCUCAGCAAGCUCAGAAUUAUCAUGGCUGCAAUCCUUAUUUUCUAAGCUUAAGAUUAUGAAGUUACCUCCUUCAAUUCUUUGGUGUGACAACCAAAGUGCUGGUGACUAAGCUAGGAAUCCUGUUUUUCAUUCUAGAUCAAAGCACAUUGCACUAGAUGUUCACUACAUUAGAGACAAGGUGCUAAAGAAGGAGCUGGAAAUCAGAGGAACAUGUUGCUGAUGUGUUUACAAAACCUCUGUCAUUUCCUAAGUUCAGUUACUUCCGCUCCAAGCUCAAUGUUAUUAACAGACUAUUGAGCUUGAGGGGGGAUGUUAAGGAAGCUCACACUUGUAUAGUAGUCAGCAGAAUAGAGGAUGAUAGCAGCAAGAUUAAUCAGUUACGCAUUGAUGAUGUGGCAUGCCAUGUCAUGCCUGGUGAUUAUGAAAUAUGUGUACACGUGACUAAUUAGUUAAAGGUUGUUAUAUUCAGUUAUCAAGUUGAGCUUAAGCACUUGUAUAUAAGAAAUAAUUCAACACACAUUACGUGUGUAUUUGAUUAAUAAGAUCAGAAAUUUUCUCAUAUCUAUUUCUUAAUUCUUUUCACUUUCCUUUACUUUCUAAGUAACCAAACAUCAUUUUCAAUCUUCAACUAGUAUCAAUGCCCUGAGCCUUGAACUGUUUUUCAAAGAUUUUGGAUCCAUGUCACUGGUGAAACCGAACCAUCGCGAGUCUUGUGUCAAUUUCUGCCUGCCUUGUUCAUCAAAGCUGCAAAAAGCCUCAUCUUUUGCAAUCUGAAUGGUCAUAUCCCUGACCAAAUCGUGCAUCUUGCAACUAUAGACCCUCCCAUCGUAGCCUCUUCGAUGCACAACUUCAACCAAGCAUCUACUUACUAGUUCUGAAAGAUAAUCAAAGCCUAAUUCCGUAGUAGUCCGAUUGUCCCUGCCCCAGAUGAGUCCUUCUCCCACCCACCAAUGUACCAUCUGUUCACCACUUAUCUCAAAGUCGUCGGGAUAAAUAGAGAAACACAAGAGGCACUGCUUUAGAUGUGUGGGGAGUUCAUCAUAGCUCAGUCGUAGAGAAGCCACCACCGAAUUGUUCUCUCUUUCGGUUGUCAAAUAUACAUGAAAAUCAUCAUUGAUUUUAUUCCACUCACUAAGGGAAUGGACUUUUGGAGCAAGCAAGCCUCCUAUUGUCUUGAUUGCCAGCGGUAGUCCCUCGCAUUUCUUCAAGAUCUCUCUGCCUUUUUUUUCAAACUCCUUAUUGGGGCAUUUUCCCUUGCUCGUUAAAAAUGCAUGCUUGCAGAGUAAUGACCAACUCUCCUCUUCAUUUAAAAUUUUUGGGGGAUGAAUUCUUGACUCAUCAACUCCCAUACUAUUGACAACGGUUUCAUUUCUAGAUGUGAUGAUAGCGAAGCAUCUUUUUUCAGUCAGAUAUAAAUUCUUCCACCAAUCUAGAUUCAUUCUCCACACAUCAUCCAUUACAAUGAGACAGGUCUUGUCACUGAGCCUCUGUUGAAUUUUGUGCAGCAAAUAACUUUCUUCAAUUCCCGAUUCAUCCUCUCCCAGCUGUUUCAACAUGGGCCUCAUGACUCGUUCCUGGCAGAAAUUCUGAGAAACUGGCACCCAUAUCCUCUUCUCAAAGUAUGCAACCAUCUCUCCAUCAUUGAAUAUCUUUUGGGCAAUGGUGGUUUUGCCUAAACCACCCAUACCCACAAUACCGAUUUGCUGAAGCUUCUCAUUACUGCUAAGGAUCCACCCUUUAAUCUUUUCCAAGUCCUUCUCCAAACCGAUUAUUUCAGAUGGUUCCCGGUCCUCUGGGGAAUAUUUAAAUAUUUGGUAUGAUGAAUUAUUAGGCCCCUGCUGGAUGAUUGGCUGUUCUGCUCUUCCAUACACCCCCAAGCUAGACUCCAUUUUCUCAAUCCGUGAAUUGAUAUGCUUCAAAUCCUUACCUGUUUGGUAUAUGAAAAACAAGUCACGAAGUGAGAACCUGUGGCAAAACCCAUCUUUCCGAUAUUCAUCUCUAAUUUGGCAAUCCGUCAUUAUGUCAUCAGCUUCAUAAAUUAUUUUUCUCAGGUUAGGCAAGAUCUUCUGCAUGAACUACCCCCGAGUUUUCUGCUUAUCAGUGCAGGAGAUGAAGGCAGUCAUUAGCUCAAGCUUUGUCUUCAUUGCCUCAAGCUGAUCUUUAAAAUCAAGUGCGUACUGAGCUUGAGUCAGCAAAGCAGAAAACACUUUCUCUAUCAAUGUCCCAAUCAUCGCCUCUGUCGCUUUCGACGCCGCCAUAUCCUCGGGCAAAUGUUCCCUGUUAAUUUCAUGUUCAUUAUCAUCUCAGUAAAGUAUACAUCUUAUGAGCUCGUAUGGGCUUCUGCUACAACCAUACAACAUGUCACACAUAAAGUACAGAUGGCAGAAAAGAGACUAGCACUUUCAGUACUAGGAGGGACAAGACAAAAUAUAUAAUGGAUUCAUCUCAUUUCCAUGGGACUUGACAGAACAUCUAUCAGAAUAGUGAAGUCACCCAACAACAUUGAUCAGAGUAAAAUUGUGUCAUAUGAGUGAAUCGACAGAAUGAUACUAGUCAGAAUAUAAUAAUGUAUCGAACAAAAAACUGAGAAUUGAAGCUAAGGUCUAGCUCACUUUCUUAGGACUCAGGUCUUAGGUUCGAGCUUCAAUAGAACAAGUUACGAAUAAAUUCUCUUGGUAACCAAGGAUCAAAUACAAUAAUUAAUUGCUAAGGUCGCUCCAGUAGUAAAAGUGACUUUCCUAAGACUUAGGUCUUAGCUUCGAGCUUCAGUAGAACAAGUUACGAAUUGGUUCUCUGCGUAACCAAGGAUCCAAUACAAUAAUUUAUUGAAAAUAUAUUUAUCAUAACUUUAAAAUUAAGUGAUACGACGGCAAAUAUUAACUUGAUAAAAGAUCAUCAUCGACCAUCAAAUUCUAUAAACAAGUUUUAGAAAUUUUCAUGUUUAAAUUCACAUCAAUCAGAGAUUUAGCAACAUGCAUGGGUGAAUCAUAAAAGGGUUUUAAGCAGAAGCACUUACUGGAAUCCUGAAAGUGUGUGUAUAUAUAUAGCUUGACUGGGCUGAACAGAGAGUAUGCUAGAACCUGAAACCCAAAAAACAAAUUGAGUUUUAACAGUCAGAGUAGAUUGUUCAGCUGAAUAUAACAGAGUACCAUGUAAUCAAAUUAUUUUUAUUUCUACUUUUAAUUCCUUGCUGGCUGUUCAGCGUUUCAGUUCGCUUAAUCACUCACUAGCUCCUAUCUGGCUCUGCUAAUUUGAUUUAUAUUGCCGAUAUUUAUUAUAUAGGAGAAGAGAUGCCAGAAUUGAUCAAAUAACAAGCCACCUGCACUUUGUAUUUUGAGGGUACAAGAAAAGAAGGUGAAAAAUAUUUUGAAUGAGUAAUUAAAGUUGAAAUGAUUAAAGUUGAAAGCUGUUGGAAUUUGGAGAUAAGAAGCAUUUUUAUCCUCUUCUCUUCACAACAAUCAAAUUUUGUUUAAUUAAAUAUCAUAACAAUUAUAUUUUUAAUUUUAACAAAUUAUAAAUUUAUGAUUUGAAUGAGGCUACAUAGUUGCAUAAGAAUUUUAAGAAAAAAAUAUUAUCUUAGUAGUUUAUGGAAAUCAUUAAUUUAGACCUUUAGCCCAAGUUGGGACUAUGUAAAAUUAUUAUAUAAUAGAGUUUAUUAACUUAUCUGAGUAUUAAAUUGUAGUGGAUUUACUAUAUUAACCUAAGUGGUGAUCUUAUUUGCAGUACUAGAGGGGUUUUGAUGGUAUAGUUAAUGGGACAAAGAAGAAUUGCGGUAAAAAGAGUGCGUGAAAAAAUCAGUUGUAAUAUAGUAUACAAUUAUUUUGUCAAAAGUGAUUUUUAAGAAAAUUUAUCAAACAGUAAAGUUAACUUUUAAUUUAAAAAAUUAUUUUUGAGCCUUCUAACAGAAAUUUCAAACAAAUCCCAAAUAUUUUUAAAUAACCAAGUAUAACAUUACUUAUAAAUAAAUUGAAGUGGUAGGUUAUUCUGUCCCAACAGUCAUUUCAAGGCCAGUAUAUCACAUACAAUCAGAAGGUUCUGUAUCGAUUCCUCUCACUUGUUUGAAUGCUCGAAUGUCUGAGGUCACAUACCAUCAAUAAAUAGUUUGCUUAUCAAACAAAGAAGAACUUUUUCAAAAAGUAAAAGAAAAAAAAAAGAAGACUGAUAAAAUCCUGAGAAUAUAUGCUUUUGCUUUGCAGGUGAAUUCGUAUUCAAAGGGCCCGAUAAAGCCUGAAAAUAUUAAUUGAUACUAUUCUUGUUGAAUUUUUAACAGGCAUGAAGAACAAUUAUAGGCUGGCAUUAUUGAUGUAACCCAAAAUGAAGAGAAUCAAAAUAAAACAAGAAAAGGGAAACUGCUUUAUUCACAAUAGGAAAAUAAAAGUACAUGCAUUCGUCACAAAAGUCAAAAUCAAUAUUUUUUUUUUGAUAUUUCUGUCAAAAAGAAGAAUAAAUAAAGAGGUUUAAAAGUUUAAUGAUUAUUCUCGGUCGAAGCAAGGAGUGGGUAUGUUCGAAUUAAAAGUUUCAAUUAGAUUAAAUAUGAAAUUGAUUCUCAAAACAAAAUUUUAUACUGUUUUCAAGUUCUUCAAAUAUUUUUAUUUUACUGACCAUUUGAAUUCAAGAGAUUAAAAAAAUUAAUUUUCGUUUUGUGCACCCCCUCUAUCUUUUACAGGUGGGGUAAAAUUUUGAACAAAGUCUAUAGAAUUUGUGGCUUUGUUACAAAUAUGGCCAGAUUUUGGUCCGAUUUUGCUGUUUAAGCCUUUAAAUGAUCUUUAUUUAUUUAUUUAAGAAAUUUUAAGAAUGUUUUCAUUGAUUUUUUUUAUCUUCCGUCUGGUUUUUGGAAUUAAGGAUACUUUGUUUCAUUUAUUUUAUUUUUAAUUUAUGGUAGGUUAGUAGUAAUCUGAUAUUAAAAAUUCGUGUUAUUGCAUUCUUGAAUGUUUUCAUUGAUGGUUUAUCUAAAGGUAAUCCAGGUAGCUCAAUUUGUGGUGGUGUUUUUUGAGAUUACACGGGAUCUUUUUAGGUGCUUUUGGUCUUUCUUUAGGCAUUAACACUGCCUACUUUGCUGAAAUUAUGGCAGCUACGUUAGCUACUGAAUUUGCUCAUGACAAGGGUUGGUAUUGUCUUUGGCUAGAAAGCGACUCUAUGUUAGUCAUUCAUCUUUUUUCCAAUCCUUCGCUCAAUCCUCCAUGGGGUAUUCAUAACAGAUGGUUGAAUUGUUGUAAUCUCAUCAACUCUAUGGCGUUUAGAUUCUCUCAUAUCUUCUGAGAAACUAACUAUGUGGCGGAUCAUUUAACUAACUUGGGUCUUAUUUGUGAUUCUCUCACUUGGUGGCAGACUCCGCCUUUAGAGAUUUUGGAGUUACUUUCUCAUGAUGCCAAUGAGUUUCUAAAAUAUCAUUUUAUAUGGUUACCUCUUUUGGUUUAACUUCAUACUUUUUUCUUUUUUCUACUUUAACUUCUUACAAAUUUUAAGGGAUAAAACUCAUUAUGUCCCCUCUGGACAGUUGUAAUUCCUUUCUUUUAUUUUUUUGACUAAUUAAUUCAGUUUAUAAAAAAAAAAAUUGACCAGUAUUAUUACUCUAUGUAUUAGCAUUAAAUCACACAUUAUUUUUCUUUUGUCUUAACCACGAGGUAUUCUGGGGAGAGCCCCAACUGUGGAAGGCACCUUUAAGCCCGUACCACAACUCAGACUAGAAGUCCCCGCUCGAAUCGGGAGGCACAUGUUCUCCCAACAAAUGUGACUUCCCUGCAACUCGAACUAGGGAGCAAACCCAGUCAAGCCACUUAAGGGGACUCCAUCCAUUGCCAGUGGAUCCAACACUUUGUUGGUUUAAAUCACACAUUAUUAAUGAAAUAAAAAUGAUAUGACAUAUCCAAUUUUAGUAGGUUUACCGAGUUUAAUUAAAGGCGAAUUAAACAAAUUAAUGUGUAAAAAUAAAACAAACAAGAGGAUUUUUACAUGGUUCGGAAUUCAAAUCCCUGCGUCCAUGGAGUCACAUUUAGAUAUCAAAUAAUUUACUAGGUUUAAGAGAUUACAAACUAUUGAAAUUUUACACAGUAUGAGACACCCUCUAGUGAUUGUGGCCACCUUGUCAUAAUAACCAAGUUAACACCUCGUGUGCACCACAUGUCUUUUGCUUCCUCUCCCGAGCAAGACUUCUUAGUCAAUGGUAUGUCACCUCUUCGUAAAAUCCAUCUGUUGCGAACAUGUGACCCCUUCUUCUGAAAAGACCAGAGACAAUGUCUCCCAAAUCAAAGAAUGAUCACAAGGUUGUGGCCUCUGAAGUAGAAUCCUUUUAGUAAAAUAUAUGAAUGACUCGCCUUUAUAUAGUGACAGGUGAAUCACGUGUAAUGAAGAGUCUAAAUCUUUUUCCCUUGAUAGCUCCCAAAGCCUUUAGAUAUAUAAAGAACUCUUCAUGAUAGUAUAGCAAUAUUGUCUCUUCAAUAUCUGUUUAUCAUUUGCUUUAAAUCAAAAGAAUUUAAUCUCAAUCUUCAAUGAUCACGCCAAUUGUAAUUUCCAUCUCAAGGAAUAUUGCUUGCUUGAUCUCGAUAGAUAACUUCUAUGUAGAGAUUGAUUUAUCUUCAACUACUUUGAUCUUGAUGUCCCCAUGUGAAGUAAUACCCAUGUCUUGUAUCUUCUCUAUGAUUCACGCCAACUUCAUCAUAUAAUUUUGCCUUAUGCGUUUUCCUCAUGCUAAAAUAUCUCUGUAUAGACUUACGUGGACCUCACAUACAUAUAAUAUGUAAAAUCCUAAUUUUUCUGUAUUUGCCGUCGUUCCAAGGCACUGUUGUAAUACUUGAGAUAAACUAAAGUACGUAGGUAUUAAAAUGUAACAUAUGAACUUUAAUUUUCCUAAUUAAGUGUAUUAUUUAAUUUUUUUCCCAUGUGAAGUAAUACCCAUGUCUUGUAUCUUCUCUAUGAUUCACGCCAACUUCAUCAUAUAAUUUUGCCUUAUGCGUUUUCCUCAUGCUAAAAUAUCUCUGUAUAGACUUACGUGGACCUCACAUACAUAUAAUAUGUAAAAUCCUAAUUUUUCUGUAUUUGCCGUCGUUCCAAGGCACUGUUGUAAUACUUGAGAUAAACUAAAGUACGUAGGUAUUAAAAUGUAACAUAUGAACUUUAAUUUUCCUAAUUAAGUGUAUUAUUUAAUUUUUUUCCUCUUCGAUAUUAAUUUUAAAUUUGUCAUGAUAUAAAAUUGAGACAAUUCGAACACAAUUCAAUGGUCGUGUAGUUGGAUUUUAUUUCAACACGGGUCCGGCAUUAGCUUAAUUAGUAGUAAUCUUAAAAAAAAAAAAAGAAGCUGGUUUCUAUAAAUGGAAAGGAGGGAACUGGUUUCCAAAAAAGGAAAGAGAGAGGGGCACGCGAGAGAGAAGGAGAGAAAGACAGUUGACCCGAUUUUGACCCGGAUUCGACCCAGAAACCCGCGACCUUGACCCAGCUCCAGCCGCCGAUUUCGACCACCUCACCGGCCGAGCUUGGUACCGAUCUAAAGCUUGAGCGACGCCGGUCAUAUCCCCGCUGUCAUCGUCACCGGAAAAUAGCCAGAACGCCGGUGAUCGAAGCUUGAAAGACCGCGGCUCAACCUGUUUUCAUCGCCGUCAAUCUCACCGGAAUUAGGUUGCAACACCGGCUGGGUUCCACUCCUCACAUCACCAGCUUUCAUUUCCGACCAACCUCGCCACCUAAAACCUCCGUUUUGGCGUGAACGACCGCCGGAAAGCUCACGGCUUUGGAAGCACGAUCCGCCGCCAUCGCCGUGCGUGGGAGGUCACCGUUGACCGGUAGGGGCAAUUCGGUAAUUUCAUAAAACUUUGGGAUAAAUUUGUAAUUUAUGAAAAUGGUGGAUAAUUUGGUAAUUUUCGAUUAGGGCAGAGAGGUUAUUUGAGAUUUCGAGGGUAAUUCGGUAAUUUAAGUUAUUAAGGGCAUUUUUGUAAUUUCGCACUUCGAGGGUAAUUUCGUAAAUUCAAAACUUGUGAUUAAUUUUGUUAUCCGAAUUGAGGACAAUUUGGUAAUAUAAGAUGUUGAGGAUGAUUCGAUAAAUUAUGAUUCCGAUGGUAAUUCGGUAAAUUUCGGUGUCGGGGGCAUUUUGGUAAUUUUUGGACAUAUGGGUAAUUUUGAAAAUUUAUGUAUCCGGGAGUUUGGUUUUGAGCUUUAUUUCGUACUGUUAGUCAUAUUUUAUGAUACGGAUAAUAAUUAUGUAGUUUAUUUAAUUAGGAGGACCCGCGAGCAAGAAUCAACGCGCAGACGUUGGUGAUACCGAGUCUGGACAUCGUCACGGUGAGUGGAAUAUACAAAACCUAUUUUCAUAAUAUAUUCUGAUUUUACAGUGCAGUACAAUUUGUUUUGAUAAAUGAAUAUUUAAUGCUUUGAUUUAUUGAUUUUCUAGAAAAAUUGAUUUUUAUUCUAUGUGCUGAUAUUUAUUAUUAUUGAAAAUGAGAUUGAUUAAUGAUUUUAUUAUUGCUUUUGAUUAAAUUCAUGAUAAUAGUUUUAAAGAGAAUUAAGUGGAAUUGAGAUAUGUUGAAUAAAAAGGAAAUGAGAUUUCAGAUGUGAUUAUAUGUUUAUGUACAUGUGUAUAAAAGGUUGUUUGGAAAAUUAUUGGACAGUACCCUUCCCCUUCAAAUACAGAGAUACAUAUAAUAUGAGAUGAAUACAGUGAUACAGAUGAUAUGAGAUGAGAAGCCUUUGGGGCCCGCUUGAACACACAUAGAGGCUUUGGGCUGUGUGUUUGGGCGCUUUUGCCUUUUGGGGGCUUCUGCAUGCAGUAUGAUGAUUACAGAGAUACAGAUGUUGAGAUACAUGAGAUAUGAGAUGACAUUUCCCCGUCUAUCCGUUGUAGCUCCGGGGCAUGAUGGUUCCCUAAUUGCCCGUCCGUCGGGGUCCGGAUAUGAUGAGAUCAUUCCCCUGGGUACUUGUUUGAUGAUAGUUUUUGGUAUUCAGUAUUUGAUAUUAUAAGUAUUAUGAUUUCAUUGAUUUUAUGCAGAUUUAUGUAAUAUUGUUAUUUCAGUGCAUGAUUUGAAUUAAAUAAGUUUAUGUAAGUUCUUAUGAUAUUUUGAUGAAAUUGAUUUGGGAAAGAUUAAAUUAUUUUAAAUAAAUUUAUUUUUCCAAAAACUAUUAUCCACUCACUGAGCUCACUGAAUUUUAUACUCACCCCGUUUUUAUUAUAUUCCCCCCCCUACAGGAGAUUUGCAGGUACGUCAGUUGACCCAGCAACGAUAGUUAUUUAGAUAUUAUGGCCAUGUGAUGGUGCUAGGAGUCGUAAAUUUAUUUUAUAUUCGAGAUAUCGCGAAUUGUAUUAUUUGUUAUAUUUUGUAAUUAAGGAUAAACAUUGUAUUUUAAUAUUAGAAUAAUUUGGGUGAUAUUUGGUAUGUGAUUUGAGAAGUUGGUUAUGGAGGAUGGUUGGAUAUUGAAUUAUUUUGGGAGUGUUAUUUUGUAAAUUGUAGGUUUGGAAAUGUUAAAUUUAUAGGGGAGAUUCUGCCGAAUUUUUGGUAAAAUUCUUAGAUAUUAGAUUUAUUAUCGAUUCGAUUGCAUGAGUUUAGAUAGACUCGUCCUGGGGAUGCGGGACGGGUCGUUUCAUAAAAUAUUAAUGAAGACUCAAUGAUGUGUACAAUGAGGAUGGCAACGUACAAAUAUUAAAUUGAUGUUGUAUAGAAAUACCAACAUCCAUACAAUGAAAUUCCUUUUUUUUUCCCCCAAAAACUGAAUAUUGAAACUGAUUCAAUUUCAAUCACCCGCCCUAAAAGUUGCAUGAUAGCUAGAACAGAUCCAAGAACACAAAAAGUCUGCGAAUUAAAGGACCAGAAAAUUGGAGAAUUACUUUAUCGUAGCAUCUUUCUUUUCCUUUAAUGGAGUGAAUAACGAAUCGUGUAAUCUGGGAAUUAUUUAAGAAUCUAAAUAGAAACAAUCUGUCACCACUGAUACUUGCUGGAUUAUAUUAGUGCCAUUCCUGAAGUUUGAAGAGCUUUAGAGCCACGAAUCUAAUCUUCAUGAUUUUUUUUUUUUUUGGGAUAAGCUGCAUGGAAACUUCAAGAAAUCGCUGAGUGCGAAAAACAAGUGGAUAACAUUUAAGACCAAUGCGUGGUUAAAACUUAACACACCACCUGGGAUCCGUGUCUUCCUUCAGAAGGAUGCUUCCCAAUCCCUUUAAAAUCGCUUUAGUUGAUUCCGUGCUUAAUGUUUUGUUGGCUUGUAUUUUUUUAAUUGAGAGGCUUGGCUUUCUCUUAAAGACUCUACUCCUUGUUUUUAUUUUACUCUUUUCUUAGUUUUAUUUUAAGUUUCUUCUCGACAUUGUCGAGAACCAUUUAAAGAAAAAAAAAAAAUUAGACUACAUGUAUGUCGGUUCAGUUAAUCAGGUAUGCGUAUAUAGUUUUAUAAAAAGAUUCCGCACUUGAACUAAAAUUUUAUAAAAUUGAAACUAUAAUUUUUAUUACAAAAAUCUCAAAUUUUAUUAAUGACAUAAGAAAUUUAUUUUUUUAAACCUUAUUUACCAUAAGACUCCAAUAAUAACUUGAACUUAAUAUCGGGUUGCUAUUACAUGAUAAUCUACCAUGCAUAAAUUAAAGAUAAAAUAAAUGAAGCAAAGGACCCAUAAUCCAACAACCAGAACAUAUAAAUCAAUGAGAACAUUCUAAAAAUUUCUGAAAUAAAGAAAUAAAGAUCAUUUGAAGGCUUAAACAGCAAAAUUCAACAAAAAUCUGGCCACAUUUAAACAAAGCCACAAAUUCUUUACAUUUCGUUCAAAACUUGAAACAAAAUAUCAUGGAGGGUCUGGUUAACAUAUUACCCGGCCACAUAUCCUCGAUCAAAUGGAAAUAGAUGCCAACACAUCCACACUUUGCUUUGACCGACCUACAAUUAAUUAUUAUAAUUUUAAACUCCUUUUCUUUUUUUAUUUUUGAAGGAUAUGUAUAUAUAUAUAUAGGGGAUCCUGAGCUUUGCUAAAGUAUUAGAAAUCUAUUAAGGCACGUAGUUUAAUCAUAUAAUGGCACUAUACCGUUAAAUCAUAUGACUUAGUAAUUUUUUUCUAACUUUAACAAAGUUUAGGAUCUUGGACCAGAUCAGUAUAUAUCUAGUAUCCUGAAUUAGAAAACACACACAUACAGAGACAGGUAUAUAUCCGUGGAAAGAGAAGGCUUUAUAAAUAAUAAUAAAAACACCUAAUUAAGGAGACAUAAUGAAUCUUAACCCUACAGAGAAGGUUAAGUACAAGGCAACGAAAAAUAAAUAAAUAAAUUGGAAAACAAAAGUCAUGCAUGUGAAGUACAAGAAAGUAAAAAGCAAUGCAAACAUAUAUCUAGGGAACCGCCAUUAGCAUCUUUGUUGUGAAGAAGAAAGAGAAAGAGAGGAAGACAAGUAAACGUGCUUCUUAUCCCCAAUAGCUUUCGACUUUAAUCAAUCACAAAUAUCUUUAAACUUUAAUCAUCCCUUUAACAAAUACUUUUCAAUUACCCAAAUAGAUUCGACUUUAUUUAAUCCAUCACAACGUUUUUCACCUUGUUUUCUUUUUUUUUUCCUUUUUCCUUUUCUGAAUUCUAUAAUUACUCUUGUACCCUCAAAAUACAAAAGCACAGGUGGUGUGUUAUUUAAUCAAGACUGGCAUCUCUUCUCCUGUAUAAAAAUAUCGGCGAUAGAAAUGAUCAAAUAAGCGCAGCCAGACAGGAGCUAGCUAGUGAGUGGGUGAGCGAACUGAAAGUUUAGAACAGCCAGCCAGGAAUUAAAAGUUAAAAAUAAAUAAAAUAAAAUGGAUGAACGUUCUGCUGGGCAUCGCGUGGUUCUAAUUUCUAAGACUGUUUUCUUACUAAUUUUGUUUCUUCUUUGUCAACUUGGCUCCGAGUUCAAAUUUCAGAGUGCUGCUGAAAAUGAUACUAAAGGAGGUGAUCUACCUGGUCAUGAAGGUAAUAUAUGCUAAUAAUUCUUUAUAUCUCGAGUAAAUUUCAUAAUUUUAAAGGGUUUUUGGUUCUCUAGCAUGCGGUUUCCAUUAUUAUAUACAUAUAAGUACAUAGGAAUUAAUUAAUUCGUUGAAUCAGAUGUCUGAAGUUUUAAUGUACAUAUAUAGUCAUAUAUACGCAUGAUCAGUUUACAACAUAUAUAUAUAUAUAUAUAUAUAUAAUUUCACAAAAAAAGAAUCUCUUACUUGAGUAGACAUAAGUAAAAAGAUUAAAAAAAAACUAUUAUAGUGUAUUUUAUCUUAUAGUAUAUCGAAAAUAUGUGUUUUUUUGUCCUUUAACUUAUCUCUUAUAUUAUGAACUCCCUUAUUAUAAGAUCAAUAUAUAUAUAUCAUCACUAAUUAUCAGGUGCGCAUAAAUUCUCUGUAUUGAGAAUUGCUAAAAGUUAAAACAAACGAAAUUAUAAUUAGAUAGCAAAUUCGAUAAUGCAUGCAACUUUUAUAAAUUAAUUAAGAGUUGAACGAAUGUUUUUGUCUUGUAGCUAUAUAGCUAGCAUAGAUCCAUUUGCUCAUGAUCACUUUAACAACAUUUGUUGACGGAAAUAUUAUUGGCAGUGGACGGUUUCACCGACAUGAUGUCGAGUUUGCAGUGGAAGGCACGACCACCUAAAUUGAGUUCAUAUUGCCGUGAGAUGCCAAAGCUUAGUUCCAAUAUUACCAUCACUUGCCGCGUCGAUAAAGGGACCCCGCACAUCUCCGGCAUGUACAUGCUCCAACUCUAAUCUAAUUACUUGCCUAGACAGUCAUAACAAAAGUAAGGUUAAUUUCCAUUAUUAACGGCAUGUUAAUAAUUUUGAAUACAGAAUCAUGGAGAGUGUAGCCUUAACUGGAAAAAUCCCAGAACAUGUGGCUGCUCUGACAUACCUGCAGACUCUGUAUGUACAAUUAAAUAAUUACUUCAAUGAUCAAUCAUUUUGCAUAAGCUUUUAUAACUAAAUUUAAUAAAUUAAACAACUAAAAUACUUAUAUAUAUAUCAUCGUAAGCUUGGAUAUAAUUAUUUGAUAUAACUUAAAUAAAUAAAUAAAAUUACUCUUGCUUUAAUUAAUACAUGCAUACAUAUUUGAUAUGGUUUUAUAUAUAUACAUGUCAAAACUCAACAGUGAUCUAUCCGACAACACAAUUCAUGGUUCCAUUCCUUACCAGAUUGGGUAUUUAUUUCAGCUUAUCACUCUGUAAGUCCUCACUUGCCGCAAGUAAUUCAAUCAUAGCUCCCUUUUUCUUUUUCUUUUUCUUUUUCUUUUUUCCUUUUCUUCUGAUACACUGGAUUUGUGUGAUGAGUAGAGAUUUAUCAAAAAAUCAAUUAACUGGGAGCAUACCAACAAGCUUGGGGAAUUUGAGGAACCUAGAAGCACUGUAAGUCUUUUAUUAGUUACUACGAUCAUUGAGUUAAAAUUAUUCCUUCAUAUUUUGUCUCUAAGUGAAGUGUCAGAUUGAGAUUCUCUCCUUGCCUAUCCUGAAUUUUUAAAGCUCUAUUGACGUGUCACUUAACCAGUUGGCCAAGCCCUAGGGGCCAACUGCCAAUAACAGGCGGCAUUGAAUUCGAAGAGGAUCCAAAUCGGUGAAGUGUCAUGCCGUCCCAAGGAAUUUUAGUCGACAUUUCAAAUUUUUUAAGAUUCAAAUUUUAGGAUGUUUUAUCAUUACUAUUUAAUUUUGUACAUUAUGCAUGCUUGUUCACACACACACACACUCACACAGAUAUAUGAAAUCUCAAUAGAUUAUGCAUGCUUGUUCACACACACACACACACUCACACACAGAUAUAUGAAAUCUCAAUAGAUAGAAGAUUUUUGGUUCCCUCCAUUUUCUUACUAUGAAGUACCAUCAUACGUCUAUGAUUUCCUGCCGUAGCGAUCUGGGCCAGAACUUACUCACGGGGAAGAUACCACCAUCAUUGGGGCGCUUGUCGUCUCUUCAACUAUUGUAAGAAUCUUCACUUGCAAUGCAAUUUAUUUUUAUUUUUAGGUAAAUCUAAAAAAAUUUUACUACUAAGGGCAAAAAAAAAAAAAAAAAAAAAGAUGACACUUAAAUGAGGGUACGCAAUGAAUCUUAUCCUUAAAAAAUUAAGAAAACAACAGGUAUGACCAAUAUUAAAAAAGAAGAGCUACAUAAGCAAUAAUUACUAGGAAAUAAAAUGCAUGUAACAAUGCAAAUACAACCAUAAACUCCCUGAACCCAUAGCUUAGGAAGACCUUGAGCAUCUUUAAAAAAUGAAAGGCAAAAUAGCAACAGGACAAUCCGGCUACCAAUCUGACUCAGAUUCCACAACUCCCAUAUUAGCCAAUUUAUCUGAAAAUAUGAGUAAAUCGCACUUACAUGUGCUCCAUCAAAAUCCGACAGUUCUUCCAAUGAAAAAUUCAGAAGUAAAACAUUGAAAUAUUCAAUUAAUUAAUUACUCCAAUAAUUGCAUUUGCAUUUAUCUCACUAUGUACUUCUGGGCUUUUUAGGUAUCUAUGGAGCAACCAGCUGUCGGGGGAAAUUCCUCGUGAACUGGGAGACCUCUCACAGCUCCGGUAUUUGUACGAAAUCUCACUCUACUUUUAAAAUUAUAAAGCCAGCUGCUUAAAUCAAUACUUAGCUUAUUUCUUUGAAAAUACAAUACAAUUCUUAAUUUCAUAUAUAUUUUCUAAUAUAUAGAUAUCUGCCGGAGAAUGGACUCAGUGGUACACUCCCACCAGAACUCGGAAAAUUAAGCAAUCUUCAAGAACUGUAAGUGUGUGUGUAAGUAUUUAUUUAUAGAAUUUAUAAAAUGGUUAAUUAGGCUGUUGAUCUCGUCGUGUAUAUAUAUGGUUGUAACUAAUUAUGUACUACAUAUAUGCUUGUACUUAAAAAGUCAUUUAUACGUACAAACGCGCGCGCGCACACGCACAUAUUUGGCUGGUAUGCAAUUAUUAUAUGUCAAUCAUUCAUCUACAUACAUACUAAUACCACAUUAAAAUUUACAACACUUAAAUCUUAAACAUAACCUAAAAGUGACUUUCAUGUGGUUGCAGGUGGUUGACAUCCAACAAUUUAAGGGGGGAUUUGCCAAAAGAUUAUGAGAAUCUAAAGAAUCUGACGAUUUUGUAGGUGUCCUGUUUGUUCAUUUUCUAACUGUUAUUGUUUUUUCAUUUUUAAGGAUUGUAAUUAAUUUGGUCUAGAUUUUUCUCGCUUAUUGCUUGAAGUCUGCAAAUAUCAGUAGUGGAAAUUUUAUUUGUCAAUGCAGUGACAUAGCUGGGAAUAAUUUAUCUGGUCCGAUCCCCAGAUUCAUUGCAAAAUGGGUCAACCUCUAUUCUCUGUAAGCCUAUUCAUUUUAUCCUUUUAUGUGUCAACUGAAAAAUGGGCACUCUCUGUGUAAACAAUCUGCUUUUGUUGGUGUUUAAUAAUUUGCUACAUAAAACUGUUAACCAAACUCUGAUAUACACUCCGUUGGCACACCAUGCCAAGUAAAGGUAGGAAUAUGGGCUGGGUAGAAUGGAUGUCCCUCCUUAAUUAAAGGUAGAAAUGUAGGUUGUAUCAUAAUAGAUUUGAUUUAGAAUAGUCGCAGUAUACAUAUCGCAUCAUAUAAAAGUAAACCAAUUUGCAUGAUGCGAGAAAACAUACAAAAACAAUGAAUUCUCCCACACGCGCGAGCUUAUUAUUAAUAAUAUUACUUUUCUUUGCUUGAAUCUCACAGAAAUCUGAUGGGAAAUAACUUCGAAGGGGAGCUGCCGCCAGAAAUUUUUAAUAUGUCAAGCCUUCAAUUUUUGUAAGAACAAUUAAUAAUAAUGCAAACUCUGCUCUAUAUAUGUAUGUGUGUGUACAUAUAAUUCUUCUCUAGUGUAGGCGUUCUCAUUUUUUUUUUAUGCGAACAUGAUUUUAAGUAGCACGAUUUAAUAGAGUUAGUUUUUAAUAUUAUUAAACCGCACGGCUUAAAAGUGUUUCUGUAAUAAAAAAUAAAAAAAUAAGGACGUCUGCACACACACACAGAGAAAAUUUCGGACACACACACACAUAUAUAUAAAAAAAUUUCAGUGACAUUAUACUACAUGGUGUAACAUAUAAUAUUAAUGUUCUCGUAUUUUAAUAAAGUACAAAAAAUCUCAUUAGAUAAUGACCUAUUAAUAUUUUUUUAGUGCGGGCAUCCUCAUUAAAUGAGGAGAGAGACACACACACGCCCACGAGAGUUAGCUUUCAAUGUGGAACUCUGCAUACAAUAUUAAAAACUAUCUUUUUCAUGGUUUGCAAUGUUUUGUCAUAGACAUUGUAAAGUCCAUGACCCCCGGAUUGGAAAUUUUCUUUUUUAAUUUCGCAAUUAACUUAAUUUCUAAUUUAAUUUUUUUUUUUUUUUGCAAUUCGAAAAAUAAAAAAUUCUAACUUGGCUUCGUCGUUUAUUCCAGGUUUGUCACUGACCUACAAACGAAGGUCUUUUCUUUCCCAAAGUCAGCUAAUUUGAGUAGUGUAUUAAGCGUGUAAGCGGUGUAUUCUAAUUUCAUGCGUGUAUAAUCAUUUUAUGCGUUAAUUAUAUGUUUAUCAGUUUUUAUUAAUUAAUUAAUACCUGAUCUGCAUUUUAAAUUUAUUAAUUGUACACUUCCUUAUAAUUAAUUAAUUAAUUAAAUCUUUUUUAGAAAUUAAAUUAAUCAUAAUAAUUCUACAGGAUAUUGAGAAAUUGCAGCAUUACUGGUUCAAUCCCACCAUACAUUGCCGAUUGGAGUCAGUUAGGCUACCUGUAAGUCUAUUUUCUUAUUAGUUUAGUAAUAUGAGGUCAGAGAUCAUUUAAACUUGUAUCAUUGAUCCAUCUGCAACAUCUAUUAACCUUGUCAUAAUGUCGUAAAGUAAAUUACUAAACUAGUGUAUAUAUUUGAUUUUUGCAUAUAUUACCUCAAUUUUUAAGAUAUAUUAAAAAAGGGUUAUUUUCAAGAAUACUUUUACAAAUACACAUCUGUCUUCGGAAAUAGUCCUUUCUAAAAGAAAAUUAAUAAAAUAUUACUGAUUUUUUAUUUUUGCCAUCUAAUCUAAUAUUUCCUAAGCUUUAUAUAUAAAAUAAAUUGCAGUUAUGUUAUUUUGCAGACAACAAAAAAGAUUGUCUUCAAUUGAUAUUGCUUUUUUUUUUCAAAUAUUGUCUAAAAUUUAUUCAAUCGCCGACCUUCACUAUGCUCAUGGGUUGGGGAGAGUUGUUAAUCCACUUGUGAUCGUUUCCUCUUGCUUAUCAAUCCCGGAAACAAGGACUAUAUAUAUAUAUAUAUAUAUAUAUUUAUUUAUUUAUUUAUUUAUUUAUUUUGGGAAAUCUUUCAUCAAAUAAUUUCCAUAUUUUUUUUACUGAAUUUUUUAUUAUUUUUUAAAAGUUUUAUUUAUAAGUACUAUGAUUAUGCUUUCAAUUCUAGUCCAUUUCCAUGAUAUAAUUCUUCUUUACAGAAUUUAUUGUCGGUAUUUCUUCUUUGCUCAAGUUUAUACCAAAGUUUAAAGUUUCUGAUAAAAAAACUAGAGAAAGAAGGAGCAGUUUGGUUAAAAAGCGGCACCGCUUGUUAGCGCCCGUUAAGAAAACAGUGUGUCUUGAUAUUUAAUGAGAAAAAAUUUAAAUAAAAUAAAUCCUAAUCUUAGAAAGGUUUAAUUGAAAUAUGUCAUAAUCUUAUUGUAAACUUAGGAAAUAUUUGGUAAGGAAAGGAUCCAAAUCCUUGCUGUGAAUGAUCUUUUUUUUUUUCUCUAAUGAUUGAUUAUUAUUAAUUUGUACUGCAGUGACCUGAGCUUCAACAACUUAACUGGUGGAAUUCCAAAUACUUUGAAGAAACUGUUUUUAUCUGAGCUGUAAGUGAUAACUUUAUUGAAUCCCAUUGAUUUUAUAUCUUUUCUUAAUAUAAAAGGGAGAAUAACAUUCAGACUCCUAAUAUUUUUCCUCAAUUUUACCACUCCGAUCCAUGAUUUUUUUAUAUCGCGCAAUUACGUCCCUAACUUAUAACUUUAAUAAUUCAAACUUUUAUUGGUAAAGGGUAAAUGAGAUUUUUUACCAUACAAAUCAUGUUUUCCUUUUGACAUAUAUAUCUUAUCUGAAUUUUGUCUUCUCACACUUUUCCUUUUGACUGACAGUAAUAGUGUAAUAAAAAAGAAUCCAAAUAAUUUUUUUUUUCUGUUACUAUUUUUACUUUCCAGGUAUCUUACAGGAAAUAUGCUCAAUGGAACAUUGCCAGACUGGAUUUACAGCAAUGUUAAAACAAAGGGGUAUGCUUUCUAACUAUACAUAAAUGUGAUAAAAUGUUUUCAAACUUGUUCUAGUGUAAACAUUAUUUCCUUUCCCCAUCAAAUUAAACGCAUUUUAAAUCAAAGACGCGGGUUAGGCAAAUGAAAAUUUAUGUAAAAAAUUUCAAUUUAGAAUAGUGUGAUGUGUAAAUGUUUUGAAGCUUCUCAUUCAAAUGCUAGCUGCAUGUGUUUAAUUAAAUAUAUGAUCGUCCCAAGUCAUGAACAAACUAUAGCCUGCCAGCAUUUUGCAUGCAUCUAGUUAAAUAUACGAAUGUCCAAAGUCAAGCACAAACUCUAGCCUGUCAUUGUGUUUAGGAAUUCCUAUGCCAUUUUGCAUGCAAAUACAAAUUAAUAAUUAACGCCAACACUACUUGUCUGAAUUUUCAUCUUGCAGGGAUCUUGCAUACAAUGAAUUUAUAUUUCCAGAACCAGAGACACACAAGUAAGAAAAUAGCGUUAAUUAAUUAAGCGAACUUGGUUCCUUUCUUUGUUAAUUUGUUUCUUUUAUCCACAUGCAUAAUUUUAUAUACAUAAAUGAAUUUCAUAAUAAUUUUAAAUUUUUAUCUUGUAGGAAUCUUCCCAACAACAAUUCUCGGAUAAAUCUGUAAGAAAAUUAUACUACACCAUAUUAUAAAAUAUCCUCCUACGUUUUUACUCAUUUUCGGGCUUCAAAUUUCAAUUCCAACAGUUUCUGUCCAUCUCGUUUUCUGAUAUUGAUUUUAACUUUCAAUGCACAUGUGAUAUCUGCACGCACACUAUUAACAAUAUUGCUGCUGUAACCAGUGAACCUAAGAAUCGGUAUGUUCAUAUUCAUUUAUCUAAUAAUUAUAAUAUAGGUAAUUUGUCGAUCGAUCAGCAAGCAAUUAUUAUGUGAAUGAAUGCCCUUACAAAAUUAAUUGAUCUUACUAUUGUAAUUAUUUUUAUAGGACAUUUCCGGAAGAGAUUAUGAGGAAGUAUUGCCCCGCUGGCCAGAAGAAAUCUCAGUGUAUGUAUACAUAUCCAUAUGUAUAGAAAUGUUCCUAUUAAGGAUUUGUUAAAUUCCGGAAAAAUUAUAGUUUAAUAGUAUAAUGGGUGAAAAGCUAUUAAAUUAUAUGGUUUAAAGUUCAGGAUUAUUUUAAUAAAGUGCAGGCGUCUAAAUUAGUUAUAUAUUUUCUUUAUUAUUAACUCAUGCACACAUUGAAACUUAAACUCAAGACUUGAGCUCCAGGAAGGCUGUCCUUUGCGACCAGAGCUACACCUUGGUUUCACAUACAUGUUUAAAUUAAUCAAUGUCUAUAUAUGUUGCAGACAAUUAUAAUUUGCAUAUAAAUGCUGGUGGCGAUGAACAUAACAUCGAAGGAAUUCGGUAUGAGGCAGAUAAAUCGACAUCAAAUUUUUUGUUAACAAACCGGCAUACAACUGGGCAUAUAGCUGCAACGGAUAUUUCUAUUCGGAUUCAAUGGCUGAUUCGAGUGAAUUUAUACAGAAGGUAACAUGUGGAGCUGCAGUGAUUGAUGCACCUUUAUAUGACGAAGCUCGCCUUUGCCCCAAUUCUCUCAAAUACUAUGGUUUUUGCUUGCAAAACGGCAAUUACAAUGUCAGUCUUCACUUCUCUGAGAUUGUUUUUGCAAAAAACGAUGAUUACAGCAGUUCAGCAAAACGUGUAUUUGAUAUAUAUAUACAGGUAGGUACGCUAGCCACAAAACUAUUUAAAUAAUUUUAAUUAGCAAUUUAUCCCUCCCUCGCCUCCUUUAAUUAAUUUUAAUUUCCAUGCAUGCAGGGGGAGCUAAGGCGAAAGGAUUUCAACAUAAAAGAAAUGGCCAGGCAUUCAAAUAAUGUAACGAUUCAAAAUUUCAUGGCUUCUGUACAAAAGCAUCUACUGGAAAUCGAGUUAUUCUGGGCUGGCAAAGGAUCUAUAUUAAACCCACCUUAUUUUCAUGGACCUCUCAUAUCAGCUAUUUCUGUAGCUCCAAGUACGGUGCAAAGUUGCAAUCAUUGCAUAAGUGAUAGCUCUUUAAUUUUGUUAAUUAUCAUCUCCCAAUAUGCCUUUUGUUGCAUGCUAUCAAUCGCUGUUUAUUUUCAGAUUUCCAAGUCAACCGACCAGGAGGACUAUCUAAAAUAGGGAUCGUAGGAAUUGUACUUGGGGCUGUGCUAGCUUUGAUUCUUUUCUUGGCUCUCAUGUGGAGAUUAGGAUGGAUAGGAGACAGAGAAUUGCGUGGUACGUACGGGAGAUUAUAUAUAUAUAUUGGAAAAAUUUUCAGUUCGAAAUUAAAUCCCAGGAUGGAUUUAUGAUUUCGUAAAUCGAUUUUUACAAUGUUCUAAACUGAUUUACGAUAUCAUAAAUAUAUCUCGAACUUUAAUACUAGAUUUUAAGCUUAGGUAUAUAUAUAUGAUAUGCUAUGUAAGAAAUUAUCAGGUGAGGGAUUUGGCACUAUAAUAAAUGCGAGAUGAAUUUUUACAAUAUUGUAAGUUUAGUAGAGUGCAGGACGGAUUUUUAAAGUCUGUUUGCAACAUUUUGAAAAUUUGUCUCGUAUUUUAAUUGACUGCAUAAUCCCACAUUAGAAGCCCACUUUAUGCUAUAUAUGCUAUACUACUUUAUGCUAUAUUGCUAUAGUAUAAGGCUUAUAAAAGAUAUCAAGAAAAAAUAUAUGUAUAAUUGAUCUGUUUCUUUUCUCAAUUCUUCAUGAAAUACACAGUGACAACGGUCAACCUACGAGGGAAGUCUUAUACCCUUAAACAAGUGAAAGUCGCUACUCGAAAUUUCAGCGCCAGGAAUGUAAUUGGCACGGGGCGUUUUGGGACAGUAUACAAGGUUAAACAUUAACUGCCGUAUCUCUCUCUAUGUGCGCGUGUGUGUGUGUUUUGUGUGUGCGUGUGUGUGCGUGUGCGUGUGUGUCCGCGCGCGUGUGUGAAAUAUUUUUCAAUCUGGGAUUAAAAUUCAGGAUGAGUUAACAAUGGUGUGAACAUAUUUUUACAAUGUUAUAAAAAUACGUUCACAAUGUUGUCAAUUCGUCUUGAGCUUUAAGAAAGUAUGAGAUUCUAAACUAGAUUGCUACUUAUAUAUAAUAAGGGACCCUUCGCUUUUUAAAACAAGAAAUCAUCUAAAAGACAAAAAAUACAGAUACCAAACAAAUGCACUACAUUAGUGUGUAUUUUUUUUUUAUCUUUUAAUUUAUCUAUUGCUUUAACAAAAUAAGGGAUUCCUUAUUUGAAAAAUUUCUCUCUCUCUCUCUCUCUCUCUCUCUCUCUCUCUAUAUAUAUAUAUAUAUAUAUAUUCUCACCAAGAUCAUAUUUUUAUUAAAGUCCGGUUAAACUAUUAAAAUAUAUGAUUUGAUAGUAUAAUGCCACUAUUAAAUCAUAUCGCUUAAUAGCUUUCUCAAACUUUAACAAAUUCAAGAUCAUUGAUUGCAACAUAAUACUAUGAAAUUGUAUGGCUUAAUGGCUUUUCCAGGCUUUAACAAAAUUUAGGAUCCUGAACCAGAUUAGUACUCUAUAUGUAUGUAUGCACUUAUGUAUGUGAAUUGAUUUUCCUUGUUAGAAAUAUGGUUUAUUAAUCUGCUUGCACGGUGCAAGCAUGGAUUACAGGCUGAAUUGCUAGAUCAGACUGUAGCUGUGAAGAUGCUUUCUUCUCAAUCAAAGCAAGUGAUUGAUCAAAUAGGAACCGAAGUUUAUGCCCUUACAACACUGAAACAUGAAAAUAUUGUCGAAUUUUUGGAUGGCUACUCUAAAAAAGACCUCAACUUGCUCAUCUACGAAUACAUGGAAAAAGGAUCGCUUGAACGAGCCUUGUUUGGUAAACCAAUUUAUAUUUAUUUUCAUCAUCAUUUUAUUUCUAUUAAUUUUUCAUCUUAGUGUCAUCAUCUAAUCGGGGAGUCCUGAACUUUAUUAAAGUCGGGGAUGAAUUUACAUUUUUGUAAGCUAACUUUUUCACUAUUUUUUUAAAAAUUGUUUUCACUCAAUUCCCGAUUGGAAAAUUAAGUAUUAGCUUAUGUAACAGGUUAAAAUUACUUUUUUUUUUUAAAAUAAUUAAUAGUUAAAUAUUUGCAGAUGCCAAUUCUUCCACGCGACUUGAUUGGCCAGCCAGAGUCCGUAUCUGCCAUGGAAUAGCAAAGGGUCUAAAGUAUCUACACGAAGAUAAUCCGAGUCGUAAAAUCGUUCACAGAAAUAUUAAGCCUAGCAAUAUUCUGCUUGAUGGGAAUCUGAACGCUAAGGUGUCUGACUUGGGAUUGGCAAAGCUUUAUGACGAAGAAAAUCCAUACAAGUUUAUCCAAGAAAAAGGGACAGUGUAAGUAGCAAAUUAAAUUGAGCAAGCACAAAAUGCAUGCCAUCUUGCACAAGCAAUAUCAUUAAUUAAUUAAUUAUGGUCGCAUGCAGAGUAUACAUGGCACCAGAGUAUGCAAUGCGGAAAGCAAUAACAGAAAAAGUUGAUGUUUUCAGUUUUGGAAUUGUUCUGCUUGAAAUAAUUAGUGGGCAGACAAAUGCCAAGUAUGAAGCAAACCAGGAGACUGAAUUUCUUUUGGAUACGGUAAGAAGACAACAACUAGAGUCAGCUUUCAGUUCGGGAAUCUCAAAUUGUAUAAAGCUCUACACAAUACCCUUUUCAUGGUUUACAGAAUCCUUCACUUCAAAAAUUCCAGGAUUCCCAGAUUGAAAAUAUCUCCUCUAUAUACAUAAAAUAAGGUCUUAAUUUAAUUUGCUAACGAUGUCGCAUGGCAUGGGAUAUAUGGAUUAAUUAAUAAAUAAAUAAUGUACACUGUGCAGGCCAUUGUGUUGCAUUCAAAGGGAAGGCUUUCUGAAUUGGUCGACAAGCAAAUGCCAAAUGAGCAUGUAGUGAUGAAGCAAGCCAAAAUAAUCUUGGAGUUGGCAAUGAGAUGCGUGGAUCAGUCACCUACUCUCAGGCCAACUAUGUCUGAAGUUUUGAGCGAGCUUGAGCGCAUCUCUAAUUAGAUCUGAACUGCUCAGGAUUCUAUGGUUCCACGUGGAUCCUUAUUGAACUCUGGACUGGAAUGUCUUGGUGAAGGUUAAGCCUAUAUACUACGAUUAUGCAUAUGUAUGUACACCGGGCAUUAUCUUAUGUUGACGGUGCACUGCUGCUUUUAAAUAUAUAUGGGUCGCUAUAAUGCUGUAAACUUUUAACAGCAUUAACAAUGUAAUAAAUGUAUACCAUUAGAUUUAAUUACUCUAAUGCAAUAUUUGUGUUAAAGUAAAAUAUAGCUUAAUUAAUAAUUAUUUUAAACGGUUAAGAAAGUGUGGUCAUUUUUGUAAAGUUAUUGUAACCACCCUUAUAAUUUGAAACAAUUGUACUUGAAUAAUAUUUUAUUUAAAAAUCACUUUUCAAUCAUAUUUUUUAAAUAACUUGCAAUUAUAAGAUUUAUAUAUGGUCUAAUUCUAAUAAACAACACAACUAAAUAUGUACAUUUAAAUGAAUAUCAUAAUUUUUUGAAAAUAAUGUUUCAAAAUUUAUUACCAAUGAGCAUGUAAGAUAUGAUAUCUAAUAGAUUAUCUAACACAAAUUGUAUAAAUAACUUGCAAUUAUAAGAUUUAUAUAUGGUGUAACUCUAAUAAACAACACAACUAAAUAUGUACAUUUAAAUGAAUAUCAUAAAUUGCAUAAAUAAACUUUUAAGUUAGAUUGAUUGUAUUUUAUAUAUAUUAGGACCUUUGUAUAACUGAACUGAAACAUAUAUUACCUUUGAAACCCAUUUCUCAUAUAUGCCAAGCUCAACCCAGGACACGUAGGCUCGGCUUGGGUUGGGUUUUCCUACUAUCCCUAUUGCCAAGUGAUGUACUAUAUGGAAAAUCCCCACAUGAAAUGAUUUUUGAUGUACCACCAGAACUAUCUUGCUUAAGAGUUUUUGCUUGCUUGUGUUUUGAUAAGAAUUUAUAGAUUAAAAAUAAAUUUGACCAACAUGUAAAAGGGAUGUCAUAUUACAAUCCAUGUAUUAUAUGCAAAUUCUAUUUAGUUCUAAGUACGAAUUUGAUUAUUUUUUUUUACUUUAACGAAUAUAAAUUAGGGUUGGGCUAUUUAAACCCACCAUAGUACAUUAUACACCCACUUUUCCAUUAAAAAAAUAAUUACGAAAUGUCCAUGAGUUAAAUUAAUAUUAUAUCUUAAUGAAAUUAGCCUAUCCUCUCCGACAUCUAUCUAUGAAUCCAAUUAACUUAAAUUGAUUUUUCUAUAAAAAAAGUAGCAGAGAGCAAUGUUUUAAUUUCGUUUCAUUUUCUUUUCACCUAUACUCUUCCGAGUACACUUUUAUAGAUAUAUUUUCUUUUAAUGUGUGACAUUGUUGGUUAGCAAACUUCUACCUCUUGGAUUCAAUCCCAUUUCAACUCAAAUAUGUUUCUCAACUAGAGAUAUAUUUAUUUUUAGAAUCAAUUAAGGAGCAAAGAGAAAAUAAAAUCUGAAUUUUUUUUGGCUUUUCUUACAUUUAUGAUGCAAUCAUGCAAUGAGUUCCAUUAAACUAAUUAGAAAAUGUGUUCGAUUGAAUUCAUUACAUGUUAUGAAUCUUGACAAGGAUUAGACAAUAAAUUAAAAAUAAAAGUCAUAUAAUCAAUCAUAAAGAAAACAAAUCAUGCGAGAUGGCUAAGCCAUUGAUAUUUUAAUUUAUUGUUGGGUAUGAUUUAAAUAUACUUUCAUAGCCUUAACAUACUUUCCCAACAGGUGAUUCUAUAUUUCUAGGGAUAAAAAAUUUGAAAGUAAUUUAGUAAAGGUAUAUUCGCAAUGAGGUGGGUUUAUAAAGUAAAAAUUUCAUAUGUAAGAGAGGUUUAUUGAGAGAAUGUGUUGAAAGAGUAUUUUAAUGGGUUCUAAUAGCCUUAUCCUGUAUAUUAAUAUCACUAAGGGAUUUUACCAAUGACCCAUCAAAGAUGUAUUAAUUAGCAGGUGCUUCAUUUUAUAUUCAUAAGACCUGUGACUUGUGUAUUAUUACUACAUUGUAUGUUGAAAACAGAAGAGGACUAAAUUGCUCAAUAUUAAAAUUAUUUGGGCAAUAGAAGAAUUUGUUAAACUGAAGGACUUUAUUGAUAGUUUACAAGAAAAACACUACAACACUCACGGCUCACUCGUCUUUCUCUCUACUAAUUUUUCACUCUUUACUUGAUGCCUACAACAAAGAGCUUUAAGGAUAUUUGUAGUAACUUAAAACUAAUAUAAACCACACAAAUAUCAAAUUACAAAAAUUUAAUAACCUCAUUUUACAAAUAUCACUAAAUAUUCAAGAACAUUCUAGAUUUAGAUAUUUUUACUUCUAUUAGAUAUUUUUUAAAUUAGAGUCAUCUCUCAUUUUCUACACAAUUCUUGAAACUUCCAUGGAUUAAACUUUGAAACUGGGCUUGGCUAAGUAUAAUUGGAUUAGAUCAUGACCCAACACUAACUUUCAUCCUUUGAUCCAUAUUUAGUUGUUGCUGGACCUCUUGAAACUUUUCGAUACUAAGACCUUUUGUAAACAAAUCCGCAACUUGAUCAUCCAUCUUGAUGUAUAACAUUUCAACUUCACAUUACAAGACCUUUUCCCUGAUGAAGUGAUAGUGCACCUCCACAUGCUUAGUUCUCCGUUAAGCUGAUAGUCGAUUGGUUAUCACAAUACAAUGAUACUGCGUAAUCUACUGGUUGGUGUAGCUCCUUCAUCAACUGUGUCAGCCAAGUGCUUUCUUGAGCUGUCAUCACUACUACUCUAUAUUCCACUUAUGUGGUGAUAAUGAUAUAGUUGGUUGUCUUUUACUACACUAAGAAACUGUUCCAGAUCCAAUUCUAAAAACAUAUUUAGUGGUUGAUCUUCUUGUAUCAUGAUCUCCGGCGUAGUCAGCAUCAUAAUAGCAAGUCAGCUUAUAACUUUCACUUCUUGUAACUUUCACUUUCUUUUACAAUAUACCAAAGUUGAUUGUAUUUUUCACAUAUUUUAGUAUUUUUCAAACCAUUUCCAAAUAAAGCUUCUUUGGAUUUUGCAUGUAUAAGCUUAUUACACUUAUUGCAUAUGAAAUGUCUGAUCGAGUCAACGUUAAGUAGAUUAAACUUUUUACGAAUUGUCAAUACAUCGUUUCAUCUUGUAAAUCUUUGCCUUCAUGUGUGCAAAAUUUUGCAUUGACUUCCAUUAUAGUUGAGAUUGGCUUGCAUUCUAACAUUCCAAACUUCUUCAACAAGUUUUUGGCAUAUUUCUGUUGGCAAAAGAAUAUCCCCUCUUCUAUUCGAUCAACCUCCAUACUAGAAAAGUGCUUAAGUUAACCAAGUUUUUUCAUCUAGAAAUGAACUGAUUAGUUCUCCCUUUGCUCGCCGAAUCUCUUCUCCAUCGUCACCAGAAAUAAUCAAAUCAUCCCCGUACCCCAGUAUAGUUGUUAACUUUCCUUCACUAGCUUUGACGAAUAAGCUAGAGUCUACAUGUGCUAUUGCCACUCUAAGUUAGAAAUUCGACAAUCUUACCAUACAAUGCCCUUGGUACAACCGUAUAAUGCCUUUCUUAGCUUGCAUACAUACUUCGGAUGAGCUUGAUUCUCAAAACCUCUUAGUUCAUGUAGAUCUCUCGAUCUAAUUCUGUAUAGGAAGACAUUUUUUACAUCUAUCCGUCAUAAUUUCCUUUCUUUGCUGGCUGCGAGUACAUGUAGAACUCUUGAUGUUGUGAGCUUUACCAUCAGACUAAAUGUUUUAUCAUAGUCUAGCCCGUAUUGUUGUGAGAAUUCUCGAGCUACCAACCGAAUUUUGUGUCUUUCAACUGAACCAUCAGGACUAAAUUUUUAAUCUUGUACACCCAUUUGCAAGAUAUUUUAUAUCCUUUAGUUUCAGAACCAGAUCCCAAGUUUGAUUAUGCUUCAAUAAGGUGAUUUCUUCCUUUAUCGCCUUCAUCCAAUGAGAAUUCUCUACUACUUAUUCAAAUGUCUCGGGUUCUUUUACUUUUUUCUUCUUCUGCAACUACUACAUUAAUGUACCUGAGAUUUACCUUUCUCAUUCUUUUGGAUCUUUUAAGUUGAAGUUUAGAAGUUCUUGGUUCUACUUUAUUUGGUUCUCCGUCUACAAUAGAGCUCUGGUGAACACUUGUCUUUCAAGGACUUUGCGCCUUAUCAUGCUCGAUAUCAUCAUCCCUUCGAUCAUCAGAAUCUUUAAAUUCUUCUUCGCUCGGGUGAAUUUCAAUAAUUCGUUCCUUUAUUUGGUUUUCAAUUUCUUUUGAAUCUAGUAGCUCUUCUUUUUCUAAAGACUAUCAUGAAGAUGCUUCGUCAAACACCACAUUUCGUUUUGUGUAGCACCGUCCACUAGUAGGAUCACAACACCUCCAUUCUUUCCUCCAACAUUCAUACUCGACAAAGAUACAACGAUCGCCUUCUUGUCAAAUUUGCUUCGUAAGUGGCUUGGUACUAAGACAUAGCACACAAAGGUAAAGGCUUUACAUUCCACAGCUUCUCGUAAGGUGAUGUGAACCCUAGUUUUGGUUAAGGAAACAUGUUGAUCACAUGAGCUAUCGUCUUUAUAGCUUUGGCCCAAAAACUUCUUGGUACAUUUUUCGCAUGUAUCAUAUUCUGAUAGAUCUCCCUUAGAUGCUGCUUUUUUCAUUCUGCUACUCUAUUCUAUUGUGGUAUAUUGGCACAAGUGAACUAAUGGUAUAUCUUAUAGUCUCAAAGAUACUAGGAGAACUCAUGUGAUGUAUACUCUCAUCCACUGUCUAUUCAUAAUUAGUAAAGCUUCUUUCUUACUUCUCCUUUGACUAUGUUUUUGAAUUCCUUAAACUUUAAAAAAGUAUCAGAUUUUUUUUUUUUAUAAAGAGGACCCAAACAUAUAUGGAGAAGUCAUCGAUAAAUGUGAUCAUGUAUCGCAUGCCGCUAAUAGAAGAUUGCUUGACAUGCCCAAACACGUCAUAAUGUACCAACUGUAAUAGUUUUUUUGCUCUGAACUUUGACUCCUCAUAUGGGAGUUGGUGAGCCUUGCUGUAUUGACACCUUGCACACACCAUGUUUAUUCUCACAUCAAGUUGAGGCAGACCUCAUAGCAUUGACUUCGGACGUUAUCCAGCAUGAAUUUAUUAUAAUGAAGUGUUUGAAUAAAACCAUUUUUUGUUGUCCCUGACCAUGCCAAAGGAUAAUUGAUACAAUACAUCUAAAAUGGAGAAAGGAAGGAAAAAAAAAAACGGAUGACCAAAGUAAUUUGGCGAAUUACAUUAAAAAGGAAAAACAGUUUUGGAGCUCUAAAGAUGCCGACUCUGUUAUGGAUUUCCUCUACCAGUUGGAAGUUUUCCAACAAUGACUAGAGUAUGUCAUUAUAUUUUUCAUGCAAGAUUACUGAAACCAGAAGAAUCUGCUAAAUCUAUCCUUUUGUCACAUGAUCAAUAAAUAUGUAGGAAACAAAGAUCAAUGUUUUUUUGUUAGGUAGGAAGCCAACAACUAAAACUACAAAUGUUACUGAAAAAUAGCUAAGAAUCAUAAGGUGAUCAAGGAGGAAACGAUCUUCAAAAUCACAAUCAAAUAGGAAAAAUGAAUAAACAGCCCACACUAGGACAAUAGCACUUCUUUUACAGGAAAGAUGAUGUGCUUAAAACAGCUAAAGCCUGAUAAGCAGCAACGAUGAAAUGAGCUCAAACUAAAUUUAAGCAAUCUAUUAGAAAGCUCAACCUAUUCCCAAAAAAUUAGACUCAGAUCUCGGUCUCAUAUGUCUAUAUUAUGCAACAAAAUCAGUACAGAGGAAAAGCUGAAAUGAAAAAAAUAGAGUAUUUGAAGCUCAUGUUUUAUUUAACUUUCUUUCGAUCUUUAAUCAAAUGGCACAUAUACAAUGCAGCAAAUGGGCAUUUAGUUUCAUUCCACCAACAGCAGUGACCCAAACAAUACCACACAUUUGAUUUAACAGAUGAAGUUUUCUUCAUAUCAACAUAUCCAAAAAUAAAAAAUCACCUCUUUGCAAUUUUCUUGAUGUGCAGCCAAAAGCUCAUUAUAUUUCAAUUGCAAAUCUGACAUUUCAGCUUGCAGCUUCUCAUAUUCAGAGACACUAGGAGCUCCUAAUUUCUGUUGAACAAACCUGCCCACCAAAAUAAAUAAACAAAAUUGAAAAACCCAAUUUUUCAGCCAAUUAAAUGAUCCCAUUUGAAAGAAGAAAAGAAUUACAUGAACUUACUCAAGAGCAGAAGAAGGCUUGUCAUUUUGCUCAUACAAUGCAACAAGAACUGGAAGCAACAACAAAAACAACAAAAUGAAACAGAAAUUAAAAUUCAGUUGAAAUAAAAAUAAAAAUAAAAAAAGAAAACGAAAAAAGAGAAGAUGAAAGAGAGGAAUAUAAACCUUUGGUGAGAGCAUCAAGAACGCCACUAGAAUCUAAGUACUUCCUGAAAGCUUCCUUUUUGGCUUCUUUUUCCGGCAAAAAGAUUAAGUGGGGGGUUGAAGAUUUCAGCAGAUAUGGUGAUUAUCAUCAAGUGGAUCUGCAUUAUGCAUACAUUAGUGUUACCUCUUUGUAUCGCAUCAUCAUCUGCUCUCUAAUCUUCUUCUUGUACUCUUCUUGUUGCUGAUGGUAUCACUGAUUCUGUUCAGACAAUGAAAAAUCAAAAAGAAAAGAAAAGAGGAAAAAUCACAGAAAAUUAGAAGGGUUAAUUUCAUUGCACCCUUUAAUUGUUAAUUUAAUUUUAAUUAACCCCAAAUGAAACUCUGCACAAUGGACCUACUCUACUCUAGCCUAAAGUUUUAAACCCAACCCAACCCACUACGAGUCUUCCUAUAAUACAGUGCUGUUUGUUAUAUAGCCGCCUCAACAGUAAUAAGGAAACUUGAACAAUCGGUAUUUUACCGGUUGUUCAUUUAAUAAUUUUAAAAACAAAUUUUUUAAUGCGGAAAAAAUAAAAUAAAAUGGAAAAAAGUCAAGGAAAUUUAGUAAAUAUUGAACACAAACAAUAUUUAAGGGGAAAAAAAUUAUAUUUUCCUUGAAUAAAAGUUAAAACAAUUAAAAUAAGUAUGUCUCGAUUUUUGUGGUUAAAUAUCAAUAUAUUUGGUGACAUUCCAAGUUAAUUUAACACGUACCUAAUUUUGAUUACACUUUCUCACAAAUUGGUUUGCUUAUCUCCACUUUUCGAUCCACUAGUUUUACGUUGAGUAUUCCCACUAAACUCGUAAAAUACACAUAUUUUGGGUUAAAUUCGAAACAAAACUAGUUCUUGUUAGAUUAAUUUCAAAAAUGGGUAAAACUUUCUCCACAUUUGGUUUAAAUAUUUCAACUAUUAUUUCAUUAGUUGUACGUCUAACAUUUCAACUAAUUUGUCAAGAUUCCAAUUUUAUAGGUUAGAUAACGAUAUUAAUUUUUUUGUUUGAUCAGUUCCAAGUUUUGGUAAUGCUUCUCCAUUAAUAGGUUCAUAUUUUUCAACUUAUUGGUCCCUUAAUUUUGCGUUCGUUAUUUCUGCUAAAUUCAUCAAGUACCAAUAUUUGUUGUUAGAUUCCAAGUAAUUUGAAUUUUUCAUUGGAUCUGUUCCAAGUUUUCGUUCUACUUUCUCUCUUAAUGGUUCAUAUAUUUCAACUAAAUUAUCUCAAGUUUUACAUUAAAUAUUCCAAUUAACUCGUUGAGAUUUCAGUUAUUAAGGUUUGGUACCAGGUUUGGUUUCUAGAAAUUUAUUUUGGUUAUGUGGAUCACCAAUUUUGGUUGUUCUUUCUCCAAUUGUGGUUGCAGUAUUUCAAUUAAAUUUUCACAGGUUUUACGUUUUGGAUUUCAGUUAAUUUGCCGAAAUUUCAAUUGCAUGGGUUAAAUAUCAUUAACAUUUUUCUUGGUUUGAUUUGUCUCGGUUUGGGGUAAAUAAUUCUUACAUAUUUGUUAACAUGUUUCAACUUAUUGGUUCACUUAUUUUGCGUUUAAUAUUUCUAAUAACUUCGUUAGGUACCAAUAUAUGUUGUGAUAUUUCAAGUCAUUUUGAAUUUUUCGUUUCAAGUUCGCGUUCAACUUUCUCUUGUAAUGGUUAGUGGGUUUCAGCUAAUGUUUUCUCCUGUUGUACAUUAAAUAUUCCAAUUAAUGCGUUUAAAUUCUAGUUCCGAAGGUUAAGUACCAUGUUUGGUUUGUAGAUAUUUAUUUUGGUUACGUUGGUAACCAAUUUUGGUUGGUCUUUCUCCAUUUUUGGUUGUUGUAUUUCAAUUAUAGUUUCACAGGUUUUGCGUUCUUGGUUUCACUUAAUUCGGUAAAAUUUCAACUACGUGCGUUAAAUAUCAUUAACCUUUAUCUUGGUUUGAUUGUCUCAGUUUUUGGUUAAUAGGUUUCAUUUUUUGGUUCAUAGUUUCAACUUAUUAAUUCGGAAAUUUUGCGUUUGGUAUUCCUACUAACUUCGUCGGGUAACAAUAUAUAAUGUCAUAUUCCAAGUAAUUUGAAUUUUCCGUUGGAUCUAUUCCAAGUUUUUGUUCUAAUUUCUCUAUUAAUGGUUAAUGCAUUUCAACUAACGUUUUCUCUAGUUUUACGUUAAUUAUUCCUAUUCCCUCAUCAAAUUACCCGUUAAUAAGGUUACAUAUCAGGUUUUUUAAUGGUUAAUGCAUUUGAACUAACGUGUUCUCUAGUUUUACGUUAAUUAUUCCUAUUCCCUCGUCAAAUUACCAGUUAAUAAGGUUACAUACCAGGUUUUUUAGAAUUUUUUUUUGGUUAAGUGGGUCACUACUUUCGGUUGUGGUUUCUCCAUUUUUCGGUUGAUGUAUUUUCAAUUGUAGUUGCAAAGGUUUUGCGUUCCGUGUUCCCAGUAAAAUGAUUAAAAUUGAAUGAUGUGGGUUAAAUAUCUAAAAUAUUUUCUUGGUUCAGUUCAGUUGUCGCAGUUUUUGGUUUGCUUGUUUCAAUCAACUUAUUGGUCUACUGAUUUUGUAUUCAAUAUUCCUACUAAAUGCCUCCAAGUACCAAUAUUUGUAUUGAGAUUCCAAGUAAUUUGAAUUCUUCGUUGGAUUAAUUCUAAGCUUUCGUUCCAUUUUCUCCUAUAAGGCAACCGUGCGUGUAUAUGAAGAUUCCUGAAAGUGGGUGAAAUUGAAGAUUCCUGAAAGUGGUAACCUAGGCUUCAAGAUUUGGGAUUUUUGAGAGAAGUGGAUGAAAUGAGAAUUUGGGAGUUGAUAAUUGAGGUAAAAUGGAUGGAAAAUGGUUUCAGAAAGUGAAUUUGGAGACAAAAUGUGCAAGAAGUGCACAAUUUUCAGCGAGAGUGAGAGGGGAGAGAGACCGCUAAAAAAUUGAGGAGGAAGACAGUGGAAGGAGGGUAGCCGCUAUGUUUCGGGAAUGGGUUAUCAAAAGCGUAGCACAUGCGGCUAGCCGCGUAUUGAAGGCGGGUAGCCGCUAUGUUUCUGGAAUGGGUUACAAAAAGUGUUGUACAUGCGGCUAGCCGCGUAUGGAAGGCAGGUUGCCGCUAUGUUUCUGGCAUGCAAGUGAAUUCAAGCGAUUAGCCGCUUAACAAGAAGAGGUAAGCCACAAACUUUGUGUCCAUGAGCACUAAUUUCUGUAAUUAUACCUUGAAGGAGUAUAUUCAAUUAUUUUCGUAUAGGUCCUUUUUGAGCGUUUAAAAAUAACACGUAAGGAGAUAAAAAACUGAAAUCUUGUUGAUGUGGUCCAUAAAUCAUUAAAUACUCAUUUUGAUUAAAUAAUUUGCCUUGUAAAAUAUACAACUUUAUACAAUGAAAAUUGAUAAUUUGUUAUAGAGAUUAUGAAAGGAAGCCUUGAGCUUUUAAGAUACUAAGUCAUGCACACAGUAAAGUGUAUUAGCAUUAGGAGUAUGGAAAAGUGAAUUAUUCGAGUUGGUACCCUCUUUAUAACUCGUCGUACGCUCUUUAUAGCUCUCAUUGAUCAUUUAUGCCUUGAGCUUGAUUUUUGUUAGGGUAGAAAGUUUACCUUUAAAUAAAUAUGAGAUUAUAAAUAUACUAAAUUACCCUUUUUUCAUGUAAUUGUUAUCAUCAAAAUUAAUGAUUUCUUCGCCAUUUAGGCCAACAAUUUUAAGAGAACGAAAGAACCAACACUUAAAUUGUCAAACAAUAUUUUCUAUUCAAACUAUUUAAUAUAAAAAGCAGUAAAAAACUAAAAAUUUUAAGCCAUUUUACUUUUUUCUCCAACCCCUCUAGGCGUCAAAUGAGGCAUUUUUGGUCAAAUGAACAGAACCAAAAAUAUUUUUAAUUAUAUUUAUUUAUGAAAAAAAAUGUUAAUUUAACGUAAAAUUUAGAAGAAUUCUUAGGUUUCGAAAAACAUACAUUGUAGUCUCUGGUGUGUAGAAAACGAGCAUUUAAAAAAUGGUAAACUAUUUUACAUGUGCUUUAAAUCUAUCUAUCCAAAGGCUUAUUUGUUUAACAAGAACAUAUUGUUCUCCCCACCUGUUUUCAAAUUCUUAAACAAGGUUUUCAAGAUCAGAAACUGAAGGGGCCUUUAGUUGGACAAACCUGUAAUACUCAUUUUAUUCCACAUAACCAAUUGGUGCCGAGUUUAGUUUUUCAUUGUCCUUUCUCAUUUCCCAACAGCCAAACAACAAUCCCAAACCGUCCAGCAUUUACUCUUGCACUUAAAAAAGAAAAAACUGAAAUCAAGCAAAAAGAAAAAAUUGAAAUCAAGCAAAAAGAAAAAACUAAAAUCAAGAAAAAUAGAAAACUUGUACAGAAGCGUACACAUCAAUUGAUUAACCAUUACAUGUACAAUUUCUUGCUAAAUAAACACCCUCACAUAUACAAAAAAAUAAUAGGGCCAUCACAGUUGAUGUACGCCUGCGCAGUAAUUGUAAUCUUGCAGGAACACACAUGUUUGUAAAAUAAGCACCCUCAGCCAAAAAAUAAGAGGGCCACCCAUCAGCUAACCCAGGUUAGUGAACUCACGGAUUCUACAACAACACUAGUUGCUAUACAAAAUACCAACAAUAUGGGGUGGCAUCACAAAAAAAUUGCCAACCUUUUACCCUAAGUUGCUACAAUGCUACAAAAUGGUUUGGCAAACAAAAAAAAAAAAGACUGCACAUUCAACCUAUAACUUGCGCGCUUCUUGAAUAAGUCGACGCCUGAUCUUGUUAAGCGGAGAUUGCACCAAAUAAAGAGCUAGAAGAAGGCGAGCGUGAUCCAAGUCAUGCUGAAAUAGUUUUAAAAAAAAACCUUUUUUAAAAAGUCGAUCUUCAUCCUGCUGAUAUAAAUCCUUAUUUGUUAAUCUAAUACAGAAAAGAUAUUAUACACCAAUAAGAUACAACUCUACAAACCUGAUAAGAGUCAUGGACAACAAUACAAGGACUAUCCAUAUACUUCAUCACACAGUAGUCACAAUCAAAACCAUUUGGCUGUUGUGUUAGACCAGCUUGACAACAGAUUUGAAAAUUUAAAAAACUGAAUCGGUUACCAAAAAGAGCUCUAGCCUCUUGACGGAGAACAAAAUCCAGGGAGGCAAGCUACCAACAUCAAUAAGCAAUAAGUAUUGCAAGAUUUAAAACAUUCAAGUGUGAAAUAUACACAAAUAUAGUCAAUGAUUUUAAGAACAUACAAUUGCCAAAGACUCAUUAAUCAUUUUCUCUCUUCGACUCGGCGAUUCCAAUGAAUCCCAAAUAGUUGCAGUUGCAUGAGAAAUGUCAACAAGAAGCAUGUACCAAUGACCAUCACAAUUUAUGGGGACAUAAAUCUGCCAUGGUAUAAAGUAUUAAACAUUGAACGGACAUCAAUAAAUGCAUAAUGUUUUGUUAUCAAUCAGGUGAAAUGAAAAGAAGUUAUAACAAUAACAGUGAAAAAGAAACUAAAUUCACGUUAUGUGUUAAGCUUUUCAUAGGUAUCCAAAUGACCCAUGUAUCGAUCUCGAAAACCAGCAGCUUGUGCAAAGUUAAGGCUACUCCAAUCAGCUAGUGCAGCUUGCUUUAGAACAAAGGUUAAAUCAAAGAAAGUGGAAAAAAGGCCAGGUAACUAACUACACUAGCUUAUUUCCAUAGAAGUGUUUGAAUGAUAUAAUUUUAUGGCUAUCUUACAGAGUAAUAUGUAGGUAGGAACCAACAUCGAGGGGAAGUGACAUCUUUUUUAGCCUCUUUCAUAUUCUUAUAAUCUGCGUACAUAGUUAUAAUCUGAAACAUAAUAAAAAAUUGCAAACAAAGUGAACACGUUAGUAGGAUAUAUAUUCAUACUCAGUAAUAUAACAUUAUAGUCGUCUUUAAAAUGGACCAGUCCUAAAUAAUAAGCAUAAUAGGCAGCAAUUAUUACAUCGCCAUCAAUCCAUUCUCCUGGCAAAAGAGUACGCAUGCUGCUCCGAGUUAUACUGUUGUCUCCUAUAUCCACCACAAUUUCCCUUUUACCAUGAAAGAAUGGUGUUAUUUCAACAAAUAACAACGAGAUAAUAAUAUUUGAGCACACUUUACAAAUACACUUGUCGUAAAAGCAGUUCGUAUAUAUAAGAUCAUACAUGUUAUUCAAUUUGUCAUCAAAAAGAUAAAGAAUAAGCUGUUUUGCAUCCUCGGAAAUUGGGGAGGGAAUAGUGAAAGGACCAACGGAGAAUCGCAGUCGGCCAGAUUUACAAAUGACAUUCUUGUCUCGAGAAUGUUGAAUAUGUCCAGCCUAUGUAACGCACGAAAUACAUUUUACAUUAGUAAAUUAUACACCAAGUGCAAUAAUGGUAAACAUUUAUUGUAACGUAACUUAGACAAUUCUAUUACCACAGAAAGACAUUUAUCUAUUUCUUAUAAACACGGCAAGAAUCACAUCCAAGGUCCAGCAAAUUCAACAACAACCCCAUACAACAUAUACCCAGCACAUACCCAACUCAUUGGCCGAUUUGCGGCACAAAACGAUAGAAUAUUAUCAUAAAACCACCAUUAUAUCGCUGGAUUCAAAUAUAAGAAUAAUAGAAAUAUAAUCGUUCAAUUACAUCAUUACCCCAAAUCAGGAAUACUAGUGAGACUACAUUAAUUCAUGCCACUGGCAGCAGCACAUUCUUUAAUAAAAUCCUUCAAACAUAAAAAAUCAGCUACAUGUCAAUCUAGAAUUUAAAAGGAAAUAUACAAUAAUUUUUUGGAGAGAAGAAAUCCCUUUCCACUUAUAUUGAAGAUAAUUCAAGAAAAUGAGAAGCCCCAAUUCGCAACUCAUCAAAACAAACCCCAUUACUUGCAGUUGCUUGAUGCUAGAUAGUGCAACCUCUUUUUUUUUUUUUUUUUCCUUUUUGUGAAAAACAUAAUCUCAAGAUAAAAAAAAAAAAAAAAAAGACAAGCCCUAACAAUUAUCUUUCAAUUAUCAAUCCCUGGAAAUCAUCUCAAUAUUUCAAGUAAUAAUUUCUCAAUUGCAAAAUCAAAUUAUUGAAACUGAAAUUUCAAGUAAUAAUCAUAAACUAAACUGAAACUUCAAGCAUAUUUAAAUGACAUGAUAAGAUUUUUUAUCAUAUAUUAAAUUAGAGAGAGAGCUCACCGAAAUUGGGAGACAUAAGAGAGAGGUACAGCAAGAGAGGUGAUUCGAUCACGAGAGUGAAAAUUUGAAGCUGUGAGUGACGAACUGAAGCUGAGAGUGAUAAAUUGAAGAUGCCCUCGAGAAGUUGAGCGACGAAUUGAAGUGACAGUGACAUAUCGAGUAAGCUUGAAUAAAUGGCACUCCUUCGACUACAUCUUUGCUCUUUGCUGUGAUGGGUGGUGAAUAUUCUUGAAUAACAAGUUCAUAUCAUCCAAAAUUCUGGAUGUAGGAGAAAACAAUAGGAGGGAGAAUGCGAAGGUUUUUAUUACGAGGGAGAGAGAGACAUCACAAUCCAACGGCUGUGAUUUUUUAGUUAAGUUAAUUGAUGAAAUAAUAACUGCCAUAUCCGGUCGCCAAAAUGAGUUAUCACACAUAUUAACCAUUGGAUGUAUUUACUUCUAUCUAACGGUUGCCAUUUUUUUUAAUAAAUUAUUGAAUUAAGCUGUAUGAGAUACAUACGCUGUAUUACAAGCGGACCCCUAAACUAACAUGUGACUUAAAGAGAAAGCAAUCAACAAAAAUAAUAAAAAUAAGGUUCUUUAGCACGUUGCACACAUGAUCUGCUGAGUGACCCUGUUGAAAACGUUAUUUGGUUUAUUCACUGUUUAAGUACUAUUCAUAAAGUCUGAUAAAAUUGUGUCUCCUGUGUAAUUGUGCUCACUAUAUAAUUAGCAAAAUUGUUCAUUAAAUCAUUUGUAAAUAACCCGACCCUACCCACUAAACUCAAUAAAAAGAAAACGACAAUUAAAAUAUUUAAAAGUUGGGUUCAUUUUCAUUGUCUGGUUUGACUCUUCAACGCGUUACACGCGUUAUGCUAAAUGAUACUAUCCACGAUGUUAUUUGUUUAGCCUACGGUUUUAAACAUAUGAAAUCAUUCAUAUGGUGUCAUAAAAUUAUGCGUCGCAUGUAAUUAGGGCGCGUUUGAGAUUAAAGUGCCGUAACUUUUAUUUAAGUUACAACUGUUGUGGAAAAAAAUUGUAAUUAUGAAACAAAAGUUAGUAAUAACCAUGUGGAAAUCAACAAUAAAGGAAACAUUUUUAUGAAGCCAUAGUUCACCAAGGAAUCAAUACGUUCAAUUUUUUCCAACUUGUCUUGAAAAGCAUUCCACCUACGUGUAAAAGGGCACUGAUUAUCCUGCAAUUGUGUUCCUCUUGUUAAUACAAUUGUACAUGACAAAGGUAAAUCAUUGGCUUUUAAAGGGAACAUGCAAAGUCACCUCAAUUUUUGUGUCACUGGUUUGAUCCUGGACAUUUGAAUUUAUCAAUUGUCUUCUCUCAUCAUGCUUGACUGAUUGUUGCAAAGGCAUUUUUGUUUCAGAGGUUUUCCUUGAACGAGUGGUUCUGUAGGCAGAGUCAGUAUGUAUUGUUUCCAUGACUGAGCCAAACAAGUGUGUCACAGGUACCUAUACAGAGAAAGAGAGAAACAAGGGCAAAUUCUUAGUCAAAACUCAGAAGUUAUUUCAACCCCAACAAAAAUUUUGAAUAAAAAGGUAGCAUCAGCUUCAAUAGUAAUCAACAAAUGUAAAGCAUAGAGGUGAUUCACCUCAAAAAGUGAUCAUAGUUUGCUUUGAAAUUAGUAAUAUUUAUUAUGACAGUGGUAAACCAUCCUCAAUUAUCCAUAAUUAAGUUUAACAUAGACCAAAGGCCCCUUCACAUCAUUCAGCCAAGCAACCACUAAGCUGAAGAGGUUUAACGAAACAUCUAUGUAUAAUUAAAAAUAAGCAUAAGAUGUACGCAGCUUGUGCAUGUGAAAAAUGAGCACAAACUUCACCUAAACAACCGUGAAGAAUAAAAAAAAAGAAAAAAGAUCAGAGCAAACCAGUUAGAAUGGAAAUGUAGAAUAGAAAUACUAAAAGGAUCGUAGAAAAGCCCAGAACUUCCAUACCUCCUCCAAUUUUCUUUGGUAUAGAUCUGUUCGGUAAUAUGUAGUUGACAUCAACAGAGUUGGAUUGUAAGAAGUGAAAAGACUGCAAAACAACCGUGAAAACAGAUAAUGCUGAAGCUAACCUUGAAGAAAUAUGGAAAUUCACAGAUGUGCCAUAGACAGGGAUGGGCAAAAUCCCGGGCCAGCUCAGGGUCUUAGGCUCCAUUCGGUACUGCUGUAUUGUGGCUGUGCUUCCAAAGCAAAGCUACCAAAGUGUUUAGUAAAACACUUUCAGCUUCAUUUUGGAAGCUAAGCAAAUUCUACCCAUAGUUGUUCUAUGAAAAAUUAUUACCCUCACUAACUUACCUUUAACAAACUUCAAAGCUUUGAUUACCAAACACUCAUUUAGUUUCACUAGAUAGCUAGUGCUCCCAUUUCACAGAAGUCGCGGCUUCAAAGCCUCAACACCACAAUCCCACAAGAAGCCUUGCUGGUGGGUUAUAAAACUUAUAUUGGUAUACAAGCUUAUGUGUCAGAGACUCUAAGAUACUACUCUUAUAACAAGCACAAAGUCCUACUUUCGUGUACCUGCUCAAUGACGCAUUGUCAUACAUAUUCAGCUUUUCAAAAAAAGCAAGGGUAUAAAAUGUGAAACGAUCCACGACAGAUACUCCAACCUGAAGUUAAUAAGAGAUGUCCAUAUGUAAGAACUGCAAUUGUAGAAGCAAAAUAAAAGAUUGAAACUUCAAAAGCAGGGUAUACUAGGUCCUAUAUGUUUAAAGGAUUGGUAAACAAGAAAAUUCUAUCUUCUUAGCACUUACAUCAGAGUCCAAGUGAUGAGAAUAUGAGUUCUCCCCUUUCAUGCUACUUCCAAUAGCUAAAGCACCUGGAGAAUGAAGCUGCACAAAUUAAAAAAGGCGUUUCCUUCAGCAUCAGAAUCACUGGUUAGGUAAAUCAAAUUUUUAAAUGUAUGCUAAGUUAAAAGACUCAGAAAGUCACGUCAAUGGAUCCAAAUUUGAUUCAGAAGCUUGUUACUAAACUCAAAACUUAGAUGAUAGUGACCAGAUAUGUAAACAAAGAGGCAUCUCACAAAAGCCGAGAUGCACAACAAUUGAAAACAUAGCUUUCAUGAACAAACUUUUGGGGAUCUCAUGCGGCAGAGCAGGUGUGUUGGCCCACCAAUGAAACAGAUAACUGCUUCAGUAUAAAGACAUUUGAUUCUUAACUAAUUACGAGUAGUCACCAAUAAAAGAGCAGCUAUGAAGUGGUUCGUAAUUUAACCAUUCGAACCGAGCAACAUAGUUAAAGAUUUUUCUUCGCACUACCAUGUGCAUGUUUCUCUAGUUUAAAAAUAAUACUGCAGAAAAGUAAAGUCUAAUAAUCACUAGAAGUAACUAGUCUAAUAUUUGUGAAAAGUACAACCCAUUUACACACGCCAUACUAACCUGAGAGAAGAGUGUGGCAGCUUGGCAAGUGUCCACCAUUAUCAGCAACUCCUUGAAUCUAAUUUUGUGAUAAGACACACAAGCUCAUUAUUAAGCAGGAUCAUAAAUGUAUAAAUGUAAACGGCCACCAAAAUCUACCAUAAAUGAUUAGCAUUUCAUAUCGGCAUUUUACAUUGAGAAAUAAAUAUGUUUCAUCUAUGCACCAUCCAAAAUGGCAGAACUACAGGUCUAUAAACCCUUUUACUUUCAUUCUUAUGGUUGAAUGUUACUGUUAAAGGCAAUAGGCAUGAAAGCAGAAUACAAUCUCACCUGUGCUUUUCUUUCAUUUGCUUCACUGCAUCUGCUAGAUCAUGACUUUGGAGCUCUUCUGAGUCCUGAAAUUUUAAAAAUUCAUCUCCCCCAUGACCCGUCAUGUAUAGAAGAAUAUGGCUUCCUUCAUCACUUAAAAGACGCUUUGAUCUAGGAACAGCAGCCUCGUGACGCCCAGUCAAAACUCUUAAAAAGUUUUCAACUGUCACUUCAUAACCACGAUAGUCUACCUGAGUUAUUGAAGUUUAGUAAAAUGAGGAUCUGCUAAACUUUAAUUUCCUAGAAGCAAGGCAUGUUCAGUAAUUAUACACCCUUAAAUUUAAAUUCUUGAUUGACUGUCUCCAUAAGGUGUUCAUUGAAAGACUUAUAAGGAGACGGCACACCCUUUCAAAACCUAAAGACCUAAGCAGAGUGUCUGGAGAACACAGUACCAACCUCGACAUUAUCUCCAUACAAAUUAAGUUUGUGGUUCUCAUUAUUGAAAACUUGUGCAGGAUACUUGUUUCCAGCAUUACAAGCCAUGUCAUCUGCCAGCACAAGUAUUAUCCUCUCCUCGGGUAUUCCUAGCCGCUUAACUGUUCUGAAAAAUCAAGUUAAAGUGCACAGUCUACAAAUGAAAAGAGGAGGGAAGAGAAAAGCAAAUUACUUCACAAGACAAUGCGAAAACAACAAGCUAAUCGCUUACCUAUACAAGGAUAAUGUAUUAGCCAUAUGUCGAUAAUUGAACCUGAACAAACCAAUUCAGUGAUUAAUUCCAUUGGCAAGGACAUGGAAUCGGUUUUUAGUCCAUCAAAACAAUGCCAUUUGACGUGGCAAUAGAAGUUUAUGAAUCCAAGCAAUAGAAGCUUGAAGAAUCAAGCUCAUCAACAAUAAUGCAGUAAUAUUAGCUGAAACUCAGAAAUUACAAUCACAAGAAAGAGAAAUUGGACCAUGGGUAUUGUUCAUCAUCAACAUUGUUAAAAAUGGGGUAUAAUUUAUAAUGAAACGGGAAAGCUUGAAUUCUUCCAAAAAUUAAAUCAAAAUCGGGAAAAAAUAUAAAAACUGAAAAUAAAAUAAAAUUAAAUAAAAUAAAAAUGAAGGUAAUUUAGUUACCAGAAGCGAGAAGUGCAAACCAAGACAGCCCAAUUGUUAGUGUGCAUAGUUGUCUCAGCUGAAGCUCUGUACGAAGUCGAACUGGAGAGGAUCAAAAGCAACAGCAUCGCCGCCAAACUUUUGAAACCAAAUGAAUUGUACAUCUUGUACCGGACCAUCAUUUUCUCGCGAAUUUUAAUUUUCUGGGUGGAAAACUCAAAACUGUGAUUUAAAUUUUAUUCGUUUUUGCUGAGAAUGAAGUCUAUUGUUGCAGUUUCAGUGACGCAAACAGUGCUCCAGCCGGAUCCACGUCCCGAAGUUGAAAAUAGGAUACAAAUUUAAAUUUUAGCCCCGUUUGAUGUGGAAAUUGAAAUUGAAUAAAAUGUUUAUUUUAUAAUUUAUGAUAAAAUUUGUAUUUGGUAAAUUUUAUAAAAACUGCUCAUUUUAAUUAUUUUUUUUAAUUUUGAUAGUAGCUAUUUUUUUUUGUAGAGAAAUAUUUUUCAUAAACAUCUUAUUAAAUAAUCUAUUAUAUAUUUUUAAAAUUUUUAUUAUAAUCUUAAUAUUUUUAAAAAAUAAUUAUAUCUUAUUUUUUUCAUACACCAUAAUAUUAAGCCGUUAGAUAUCAUAUUACUACUACAAUCAAAUUACAGCUACAAUUAGUGUAUAUUCUCUCUGGUAUCAAAAUUUUAAUCUAGUAAGUUCAUAUUUUUUUAUAUUUUACUUGUAUUUCCUAUUAUAAAAUUAAAAAAAGUUUGCAUAUAAUUAUGUAAAUUUUUUUGAACUUUGAACAAUUUCACAUGAAUUAACCAUAACUUUUAAAAUUAAUUUCAUAAACAUGAUUUUUAAUAUUCAAUCUAUUUAUAUUUUUCCGUGUUUAUUACAUCAUGUUUAAUAUUAAUGUAAUGUAUAUUACUUUUUUUUAUCUAGAUUACGUAUAUAAUAAAUUUAUUAUUUAUUUCAGUUUAUGUCAUUUUACGUGUUUUUUUUUUAAAGUUAUGUCUAAACAUCAUUAAAUAUAAUAAAAAAUAAAAGAUAAUUUAAACUUACCUAUGUUUUAGUUAUUAUAUAAUAAAACAAUACAUUUAUAAUAAAAUUAAGCAAACACACGUACAUUACUUUUAAAAUUUACAGCAACUGAGACAAUGCAGCUUACUAAACACCAAGCAGCUUUUUUAAUUAGCUGCUUAUUGCAUCCGUACAGUAAAAGCAACUUAUUUAAUUAACAAUUGCAAUCCCAAAGUGGGUCUUUGUCCUCGUCCCAUCUCGUAACCCGAAAAAUAAAUUAUCUUUAAGCCACCAAAACUAUUUGAAAAUUUUUGGGCAAUGGAAAAUGCUAUUUCCACAAAAUCAAAAGAAAUUAAUUUUGCUAUGUCGGAUGGACACGGUGUUGGUUCGGUUUAGAAUUAAUCCAUAAUUUGGUUCCCCUUUUUUUUUUGGUUUUUUAAGGUUCAUUCAUUUGUAUUUUGUGAUUUUUUUUAUAUUACGUUUACUAAUUCUUAAUUGGAAUAGAUGGAAUCAGAAUGUUAAUUAAUAAUAAGAAUAGAUUUUUUUACUUUACUUAUAGGAAUUGGAAUCAAAAUGAGUUGUAUUACUACUAAUCUGUUUAUUUUGUCUUGGAAUCAAAAUAGAUUAUUACAAGUUACUAAAAUAACCUAAGUUGAUUAUUUUCAUUAUUUAUUAUAAUAAUUGUGAUUAUGAUUAUUGUCAUUCAAUAUAAUUAUUGUUAAUAAUAAUGAUAAUGACGACAAUGAUAUAUUAUUAUUAUUACUACUACUACUACUAGUACUAUUAUUAUUGUAUUACUAAUGAUAAAUAAUUUAGGACUUAUUUGCAAGUGGCAAAAAUUAAUUAGGGUAAUUUAAAAAUUAUAAAAAUUUAAUGGGGGUAAAAUAAAAAGUUUAAGGAAAGGAAACUUGAUUCUCAACAUUCCUUAAUAGUUAAUUCAAAAAACAUAUGGGCCUCAUAUAUUUCAUUCUCAUUCCCACUUCUACUUUAACAAAUAAACGCUAUCAAUCAUUCUCAUUUCAAAUUCUGAUUCAUCAAUCUUACAAAUAAACACACCUUUAAUAUGAACUGAUCAAUUUUUAUUGAUUUUUAUAACCAAACCACAUCAAAUUGAAUCGUUGGUGCUGUUUGGUCUUUUAGCGGGCAUCGAUUUUUUUUGUCCACCCUUGUCCAUGCCUAUAAAGAAGGGUUUUAUACUCCAUAUUUUUAUACUUGAAAAUGAAUAUAAUAAAAGUAAAAACAUCAUGCUUGAAUGGGUUGAAUAUCUCUAUAUUUUGUGUUUUUAUUUCUAUUUAUGUGCAAUUUGUUAUUUUGUGAAUCUCAAUUAGUAACAAAUUACCCACCAAGUAAUUUUUUUUAUUUCAUCCAUUUUCAUCUCUUUAUUAUACAUAUAUAUUCUUUAAGUAAUAUGAUGAUAAUCCGACUUCUUUCACACUAAUACGAACGAGAUUGGAACCGCAUACUUUAAUACAUACUAUCAUAAAAAAAUUUACAAAUCGAACAACUAAGCACUCACAAGUUUUUGUUUCACUUACCUUGAAUAAUAUAUCAAGUAAAUGAAAUAUAUUUUUUAAAAACCCUAAACUAUAUAUGUUGUCAUUUUCGUGAAAGAAUUGAUCAAAGCACAAUGAGGAUGCCAUUGGUGAUGCAAAAUUGCAAAUGAGAGGAGAGAUUCACACCAAACGCCUCUAUUUUGAUUAUAAGUGUUAAAAAAGAGAAUUUUCCAUCUCUUGUGCAUCGAUCAUUAGCAUUCGUCAUCACUAGUCGUUCAUGUUCGAAUUCUCUAGUGGCCUCAUUUAAUCUAAUAUACGAUAUGGAGACCAUAUAAAUUAAAUUAUUUAAUAUGAAAUUAAAGAAUGUAGGGUGUCUCCUCCCCUUGCUAUUUUUGGUUUACUAUGUAAUAAUGCUUAUGAGAUUGUAUACUCUCGUUUAGUAUUGCAUUAGCUCUUCGUGAGCCCUUCUUUAAUAAAAAAUAAAUAAAUUGUAGGGUGGGUGUAUAAUAAAGGAAGCGGGAGUUAUGUAAUAAAAAAAAAUUACUUAUUUGUAGAAUUGACUUGAAGAUAAAGGGGCAUGUGAAUGAUGUCAGGGUUGAGCUUAAAAAAAGCCCAUAGGAAUGGUCUUCAUGCCUCAAAUACCUUACGUAGCCCACUUAUAAAAUUGGGCCUUCAAAAGAGUUUCAAGUCCACUGUUGAACUUGUUCAUCUUCAUCCUGCCUUGUGACAUGUUUUGGUUUUUUUUUUUUUUGGGUUAAUCUCUCUGAUUCUUUUUAGUUUUAUUUAUUUAUUUUUAAAUAGAAUUUUAUGCUAACUAGUAUUAUGAAUAUUCCUAUUCAAAUACGUACAUGGGUAAAGUGGAAUGCUUAACACUCGGUAACAAUGAAAAUAGUAAAAUUAGUAAUCAUUUGACAAGUUUCAGUUUAUAAUCUAAUAUGUAACUUGGUGCUUAGGUUCAGAUAUUCAGAUGAAUUUAAAAUACAGAGUUAAAAGAUAAGAAAAAUACGAACUAGAAUGCACUAUUCUUGUCUUUAGUGUAUCGAAGUUUAUAUCUUCUUUUUCUUUUUUAAUCUUUCAACUCCAUCCUGAUAAUUUUAAAAUAUGAAUGUCAGCAAUUAAGCAUGACUCAUCAUAUGCUAUAUUAAUUUAAAUAUACAUUUUGCAUUAAAAAAUAAACAAUACUAAAUUCUAGUUUGUAAUCAAUCCUUCUAAUAAAAAGACUUGUUUAAUAUAGUAGUAAGUAUCCUGCAACACCAUCAUUAUGAGUUUUAAUUUGACUUUUAAGAACAGACAAAGAUCCUCUUUUAAUACUUUUUCCCCUAAUCUUUUCAAGUGAAAUAAGUGGUUAAGAUUGAAUUUUAAAAUUUGAUAUUGACAAUCAAGCCAAUUUUUUUUUACUCUAUUUAAAAAUAAAUUUAUAAAUAUUGAAGGACUAAGAGAGAGUAAAAGAGAUUGAAAAAAAAAAGAAAAAGAAAAAAGGAGAGAAUCCUAAUCCUUGAAGAAGAAACCGAAAUUCUCUAUCCUAUCAAAUAAAAUUCUAACGCAAAAUAAAGAAAAAUGAUAGGUAAAAAUUAGUGCUCUAUAAGUGAGUGGAGAAUUGAUUCUUCUUCCCUUACUUUAUAAAGAGAUGGUGCUAAUAAUAAUAUACUUAAACAAAGUUGUAGUAGGGAAUAAACACAGCAUGCUAAAGCCUAAUAAUAACUAAUAAUGGGAAGGGAUGCAGCCUGCUGUAGCAUGAAAUUGAAAUCAGCCUAAUCAGGCUAAUCAAUAGCUUGUGUGGCAGUCUUUAGCACCUUCAUUCCAUCUUUUAUUUGCUUACUUUUCCUAUGAAGAAAAAAGAGAGAAAAAAAAGGCAGAUUUUUAGCCACCAAUCAAAUUCAACACCCCCAAUACCUUUCGAGAGAAGUGGACAUCUUUAACAAUUCGGUGGCUUUUUUUUUUAAAAAAAUAUUUGAAUACACUUGAAGUAAUCUGAAUUGUAAAUAAAGUUGAAUGUCUGAAUUUAAAUAACAUAUUUUUAAAAAUUGUUAAAAAUAAGUAUUAAAAUAUUUUUUUAACUUAAAAAAUCCAAAAACUAUUAUUUUUACAUUUGUGCCCUUAGAAAUGUGAAACAAAGCCCUUAUAAAUGUGAAACAAAUAAUCACACAUAUUAAAGAAUACAAAUAAAAUAAUAUAUUAUGAACACAAAAAAUCAUACUCAAUUGAAUACAAUUCUUUAAUAUUCUUAAUUAGUACAUGUUAAUUGAUUUUAUUGUAAUUUGCGAUAUUUUUAUAUUGUUCAUAAAAAAAUAUGAAGAUAAUAAUGCUAAUAUGAAGAAAAUAAAAAGAUAAAAUAAUAAUAGUCUAUCAAUACAUCAACACAAGUUAUAGAGAUAGAUAAUAAUGUUAAUUAUUAAAUUUUAUUCAAGUAAGGAAGAAAAUUGAUUAAUUAAAUUGGGAUAUUUUGGAGAAUAUCUUUUAAUGAUUAUCAUUAAAACUUUUUAGAUUAAACAAAAAGCUAAAAAAAUUAGUUUAAUAACUUAAUGAUUUAAUGACUGAAAAUUUUUAUUAAGUUGAAAAAAUAAACGGACUUAAUGACUUAAUUGAUUGAAUUUAAGUUAAUUAAGCCAUUAAGUAAAAAAAAAAAACAAACAUGCCCCUCUUUAGCUUUGCUUUGCAUGCACUCAAAAUCUUGAUAAAAACCCCUCUUUUAAAUUUACAAUUGUAACCUCAAUGGAAAAUUAUAAAUGACAUUAAAAGACAAAGACAUGAACUCAUAUGUGCUCAAUUAUUCAUAAUCUUCUAUCACAAAUACAUGUACAUUAAUAUUUGGCUAAGAUUUAAUUAGUUUUAUAUUCUUAUCUAAUAAGUACCAAUUAUAUUUCUAAAACGUUAGCAAAAAGUUCAGUUCAAUAUUGAAUUUAAAUCCUAUUAUUAUGUGUGGCCUUUGCAGUACUUCAUAUGAGUUUUGCUUGGUCUUUUCAGGAACUAUUACCUAGUUUAUGAUUUUAUCUCUUGUUUGGUUGUCGAUGUUUUUUGAAUUUUGAUAAUAUAUGUAACUUGCAAGUAGUUUGAGGUUUUUUUUUUUUUUUCAUUUGCACAAUGAUUUUAAAAGAAUAAAAAAAUGAAAAAGGUCAAGAGGAAAAUUAGGUAUCCCAAUAUUCAAGUUCUUAUUUAAGUCUCAACUGAUAUAAUGUACAUCCAUUGAAUGAUAGUUAAAUACUUUUAAAAGUUAUGAAUUAAAUUAUUUAAUAAAUGAGUGACACAUGAUAUUUAGAUUUAAGUUGAGAUUCAAACGUUGGAAUGCCUAAUAUUAUUGAAAACUUAAUACAGUAACACUGGCCAAGUUUGAAUAUUCAUGACACUCAAGUAACAGACAAAUUGAAUACAUACCUCAAGAAGAUCCAACAAUAAUACAUGUCGUGCUCUUAUUUUAUCAUAAGUGGCUAGUAUAAUUAAUGAAAGUAGCAGUGUACCAUACAUUCUGAUUUCUCAAUCUUGAUUCUUCUUCCAGACAGCCGGCUUGUCAAGAGGAAAAGGGGAAUUUUUCAGAUUGAAGCAACGACUAACCUCUGAAUAACGUAGUAUAGGCAUAUCCUUGAGCAAAACAUUCCAAUCAAGAAUUAAGUUUGGCAUAAACUUUAAACAUAGACCCUCAAGGACCCAUGUGGUGCCAUUGCUAUCCUGAUCAGAUUCAGAACUGAUUUCGAAGUUGCUGAUGUCUCCAUCCUCAAGACACAGAUAUUGCAGGCUUGAGAGGUGCUUAAGAUUAAUCCAUUUUGGCAGAAUUUCGUGGCGGUAUCGCCUGAGGUAAAGCUCCUGAAGGCUCGGAGGAGGCAAAAGCCUAUCCAACAUCUGUGAUACAUGUUUCUCUUUACAAUCCUCUGCAUCAAUAGCUAAAACUUUGAGUUUCUCGAGCUGUGAUAAGACAUUCCAUUCAUCUUCCGAGAUUUCACUCUCAUUAUUUAUGGACAUUCGUAGAACUCUUAGCUGCUUCAGUCCCAGCAGGGCGUUAAGUCGACAGCCUUGUGUGUUAGACUGACUCGCCACCCAAAUCCAGACAGCUCCUGGAGAUAAAUUAGCUUCUCGAGUCCACGAGGUAGAUACUGGAGAGGACAAGAUCCGAGGUCCAAGAUGAUCAACUUCUUCAAACUAGUAAUUGAUGGAUGUAGUUUGGUGCACCUCCUCAGAACAAGUAUUUGGAGAUUACGAAGCUUUUGAAUUGAAGAUGGGAGCUCAAUAUUGCCUGCAACUCCGCUUAAGUUUAGACAUGCAAGGCGUUUAAGUGAAGAGAUCUUAUCCAAUAGAUCCUCAACAUUAAUUCGAUCAAGCUUACAGUAUGAGAAAUCCAGCACCCUCAGUGACAUGAGCGAUUUCACAUUCCAAAGGGAAACUGGAGUGCUUGAUUGCAGUAUCAAUGCCCUGAGCCUUGAACUUUUUUUCAGGGAUUUUGGAUCCAUGUCACGGUUGAAACCGAACCAUCGCGAGUCUUGUGUCAAUUUCUGCCUGCCUUGUUCAUCAAAGCUGCAAAAAGCCUCAUCUUUUGCAAUCUGAAUGGUCAUAUCCCUGACCAGAUCGUGCAUCUUGCAACAAUAGACCCUGCCAUCAUAGCCUCUUCG
rnacentral:lncRNA from 1 species